rnacentral:lncRNA from 1 species
UAAGUUUGAAAUUGGAAUCUUGACGUCAACACUCUAGUUUGUUGCUCUACACAAGGUUAGCAACUCUCUUCUCUCCUUAUCCUUAAAUUCGAAAUUUGGUGAUGAUCAUAGGCGUUCUGUCCACCUUUUAAUAUAACAGGACCAUUUUUGCCAUAUGAAUAAUAUAUUGUUGAUAUAUUUUGACAUCAACCUUGUCUUUUAAAAAAUAAAAAAAUAGUGACCCCUUUACCCUUUGUUUGUUAAGGAUCACUUUCUGGUGCAUUUGCAUUAUUUGAAAGGCACGUGGAUGUGUUCUUGGAUUUUUGACUAGACUAUUGUGUUGGUGACAUUUUUUCUGCUGAUCUCUAUUCUUGAUUGCUAGUUGUGCCCUUGCUAGACUGAACUUGUAAAUGGCUAAUUGUUUGGGAUUUAAGAACCCACUUCUUCACAUUAGAAUUUUACCAUGAUGCUGGAAAUAAAGUCUUAUUCAGUCCCCUUUUUAGUUAUUUUUUAAUUAAAUUCAUAAACAUUAGAUUUUGCUAUGUAAUAUCGUUAUUAUUAUAAUUAUAAUUUCUGGCCAUGAAGAGUGAAGCUAUCUACCCAACGUUAAUAUUUUAAGUCGUUUGUUUCCACACCUACGAACCUAGGAUGAUCAGGACAUAAUUAUCUAUCUAUAAAAUAUGUCAAAACUUCAUUUAGCUUACUGGCCAUGCUAUAUUGGUUAUUGACAUGAAAUCUAAUAAUUUAUCAUAAUAUAGGAAUAACUAAUCUAUCAAUCUAUGGUUUUGUAAGUGGGAAUCAUUUUUAAGAGUCUACCAAAGAGCUGGUUAACAAAGCAACAAAAUUCUACUUUUUUUUGUAAAUUUUAUUAAUCUAUUAAGAGCACUCCAAACUCAUAUUAAUGCAAAGUUGGAAGCAAAAGUAUGUCGAGUGUUUCCGAGGGAUUUUAAACUGGAAGCUAAGGUUUGUAAUGAACCAUUGUAUGCUUAGUAAUAACCCUGUAAAACACAGUUAUUCAACAUGAUUUGUUUAACUGAUCUAUACAAAAAUUUGAACCAGUUGGACAUUUAUAAGUGAAUGAAAAUAUUCUAUCCUUUGCAUGUUUGGUAGUGAAUUUGUCUAAGUACAAAAAUUUGAACCAGUUAGACAUUUAGAAGUGAAUGAAAAUAUUCUAUCCUUUGCAUGUUUGGUAGUGAAUUUGUCUAAAUACUCAUAUUUCUACGAUGUCCUAAAAAAUAAUUCAAAAUGACUUAUUGUUUAUCCGAAACGUGAAUAUUGGUAUACUAACCUACAUUGGAUUAGUUAAGAUAUUUGCUCAAAAAUAGUAAAGUAUUUGUAUCACUUCAAGUUUACAUACAUUGUUGACUGAUCUUUGGCUCAAUAUUAAGUUACUAAUCUUUGCCUCUUCUUAUGUUUCAUGUACCACCGGAGAGCUAGAGUUUCUACUUUGGAACUCGUUUUGGCCUAAAAUAUUAGGCCAACAGCAAUUAGGAUCACCGCAAUGCUUGGAGUCUCAUAAAUAGGAGUCUAAUGUUCCUCAGCCUUUCUUUUGUUGCCUUAUGUUUUUUUAUGUUGGCUAACUUUUACUCUUAAGUUUCGUCGUCCUACUUAUAUUGUUUUUGAUAUGUUAGCUAACAUUUACCCUUAAGUUUUGAUACAUUGCCUGUCUUCUUUUAUUUUUGAAGAUUAUUCAUGUGAGCCAAUAUUUGUUUGCUUGUGAGUUUAGUUGAAACAUUUUUUUUAGGAAAUGGGUUAGCAUUUUUACCUAUAGUACUCUUUUUAUGUUUUUUUUUGAGUUGAGGAAAGGGGCUUAUAGUUUAAGAAUUUUCCAAACAAAGUUUCAAAGGUUAAAAUAAUACUAGUGUUUCAAAAUUGGGAAAAAGAAGUAUAUAUCGGCUUAGGCACUUAAGGAAUAGGAAAACUUUUUGUCUAAAACCCUCUUUGAAAUUUUAAAAGGGUGAAAUAAUUUUCAUUUAGGUAUCUAAGUAGGAAANNNNNNNNNNNNNNNNNNNNNNNNNNNNNNNNNNNNNNNNNNNNNNNNNNNNNNNNNNNNNNNNNNNNNNNNNNNNNNNNNNNNNNNNNNNNNNNNNNNNNNNNNNNNNNNNNNNNNNNNNNNNNNNNNNNNNNNNNNNNNNNNNNNNNNNNNNNNNNNNNNNNNNNNNNNNNNNNNNNNNNNNNNNNNNNNNNNNNNNNNNNNNNNNNNNNNNNNNNNNNNNNNNNNNNNNNNNNNNNNNNNNNNNNNNNNNNNNNNNNNNNNNNNNNNNNNNNNNNNNNNNNNNNNNNNNNNNNNNNNNNNNNNNNNNNNNNNNNNNNNNNNNNNNNNNNNNNNNNNNNNNNNNNNNNNNNNNNNNNNNNNNNNNNNNNNNNNNNNNNNNNNNNNNNNNNNNNNNNNNNNNNNNNNNNNNNNNNNNNNNNNNNNNNNNNNNNNNNNNNNNNNNNNNNNNNNNNNNNNNNNNNNNNNNNNNNNNNNNNNNNNNNNNNNNNNNNNNNNNNNNNNNNNNNNNNNNNNNNNNNNNNNNNNNNNNNNNNNNNNNNNNNNNNNNNNNNNNNNNNNNNNNCUUACAUGUAUAUACUAUACUUUAUAAUAAACAUACUUAAAAUCACAAACCUUUAUAUAAUAUAUUUUUUAAUAUUUUAACAUCUAGUAUCAUUUAUUUUAUUUUAUAUUUUANNNNNNNNNNNNNNNNNNNNNNNNNNNNNNNNNNNNNNNNNNNNNNNNNNNNNNNNNNNNNNNNNNNNNNNNNNNNNNNNNNNNNNNNNNNNNNNNNNNNNNNNNNNNNNNNNNNNNNNNNNNNNNNNNNNNNNNNNNNNNNNNNNNNNNNNNNNNNNNNNNNNNNNNNNNNNNNNNNNNNNNNNNNNNNNNNNNNNNNNNNNNNNNNNNNNNNNNNNNNNNNNNNNNNNNNNNNNNNNNNNNNNNNNNNNNNNNNNNNNNAUAUUUUCCUAAAUUGAGUUUAAGGACUAUCUUCGGAUAGGCUCUGAGGGGUGCUUAACACCUUCCCCUCGAGUAACCAAAACCCUUACUCAGAAUCUCACUGGUUUUGCAAAUCAAAACAGAGUUUACAUUUACAUAUUUAAAAAUGGUUUUCCUAAUAUUUUCCUUAAAAUUUAGGUGGCGACUCUAAAACAAAAAACAAUUUUUUUUUUUUUAAAAACAGAGUGACGGUCAUAUUAUGUUGUGAACUGUUUCGGCUUGUUCGAAAUAGGGUGCGACAGUCACCUCGCGCAUGUACUUCUUUGUUGUCAUAACAAGCUCGUGAUAAAUAACCCAGUCCGGCUGUCUUUGAAAAAGAGCACUGCUAGGAUGGAUGUAAACUGGCCGGUUCUCAACUAGAGUUCUAUAACCCUCUUGAGGAUCCUUUCUAGCAACAUGAAAAAAGAAACCUGCUCCAAUAGCCUUCCGGAUCUUUGUGAAAUUCUUUCCAGCACUUACAACAUCCAAUUUAUACCUGCAAGAGCAAGCAAGUAUCAGAAUCGAGUCGCAACCAUAUAAGUUUCUAACCUAAAAGAGAAUUAAUAAACAUCAGGCAGAGAGAUCCACAAAAUAUGCCCAAGUCAAUUAAGCUAACAGUCAAUAAAGGUUAAUAAGCAAACAGUAAGAGAGAACAAGGCUUGAAAUGAGAAGUACAGUAUGAAAAAGGAAUUGAAAUACAUACUUAUCCAUGAUCGAAAGCAGCUGUUUUCUAACAUCAUGUGCCCUCUUAAGUGAUCGUGACUGGACAAAAUUUUCAAAACACCAUGGACCUGAGAAGUUUUUUGCUUUCCAAGCCUCAUAAACAGCAAGCAAGGUAAGGUGAUCACCCUCAGGCUGAAAAUUUUUGGCCCUUUUCUGAUCGGCCUGAGCUUGUUUUUCUCUUGGUCGGUAAAAGAUAUUUCCAGUUUGAAUCAUAGCAAUGAUGGUCAAGAUCUCAUCACUAUAGCCAAGGUCCACGCUAGCAAGAAGCAUCUUGGACAAAGGAGGAUCUAAUGGAAAUUCUGCCAUUUUUCUUCCCAGUUUCGUCAGAAGCCCCUCUUCAUCCAAUGCUCCAAGAGUAUAAAGUUGCUCCAUGGCAGAUAUGAGAGCCUGAGGGGAAGGUGGGUCCAUGAAAUCAAAUGACAAAAGAUCAUUAAUACCCAUUGCUUUCAUCAUAAGAACCGUGUUCCCAAGAUUUAUCCUCUGGAUUUCUGGAAUCGCGGUAGGGGACAUUUCACUAUGGAAAGCACUCUCAGUAUACAGACGGUAGCACUUCCCAGGUCCAGUUCGUCCAGCACGCCCUGCUCGUUGCUUUGCUGAUGCUUGUGAAAUUGGGGUAAUAACUAGUGAAUCAAGCCCCUGUUUUGGAUUGUAGACAUUUUGCUUUGCGAAUCCAGGAUCAAUAACAUAAUAUAUACCGUCAAUUGUCAAAGAAGCUUCAGCAAUAUUUGUAGCAACAACAACUUUUCUCUUCCCAGGAGGGGCAGGAUAAAAAAUUCUAGACUGCAUUUCACUGGGCAAGGCACUAUAGACAGGCAGUAUGAUCAGUUCAGGAACAUUUUUACCUAGUCCUUUCAUCCUCUCAUAGAGACACUGACAAGCAUAAUCAAUCUCCUCUUGACCAGUCAAGAAGAGGAGGAUAUCACCUUCAGGUUCUGUCAAGUGGAUCUGCAUAACAGUAAUUAAAGCCGCAUCAAGGUAAUCACUUUCUGGCUGCUUUGUGUAGAGUAUCUCUACUGGAAAAGUUCUUCCUGGGAUUGUAAAGAUGUUGCAGUCGAAGAAAUAACCAGAAAAUUUCUCUGCAUCCAAAGUUGCAGAUGUGAUAAUUAGACGAAGGUCAGGUCUCCUCUUCAUAAGCUGCUUAAGCAAACCAAAGAGAACAUAAGUGUGAAUUGUUCUUUCAUGUGCUUCAUCAAGCAUUACGACUGAAUACUGGGAUAAGUUAUCAUCAAUCAGGAUCUCCCUCAGAAGCAUACCAUCAGUCAUAUAUUUGAUAACAGUUUCUGGCCCAGUACAAUCUUCAAAACGAAUAGCAUAACCAACUUCUUCACCUAAUCGACAACCAAACUCCUCAGCAACUCUCUUAGCCACUGACAUUGUAGCCACUCGACGAGGUUGAGUACAGCCAAUUUUUCCCCUCGUUGUAUACCCUGCCUCGGCUAGAUACUGUGUCACCUGUGUUGUCUUACCAGAACCUGUCUCACCGAUGACAACCAGGACCUGGUUAUCAAGGACAGCCUGAACCAGUUCUUUCUUCAAUUUGUAAAUAGGAAGACUCUGCCUCUGCUCCUGGAGGGAUAGCUUAGACCUCUGGCCAAAGGUCAAGGCUUUACCAUAAGCAUCCUUCUUCCAUUCUGGCAUGUCAUAGGAAGACAAACCAACACCCCUAAGCUCCUGUGCUAGAUGCCUCUCACCUGUCUCUGGCAUUGGGUCUUCCCAGGGUCUGUUGAGAUCUUUAGGGAUGGAAUCAAGCAUCGUUCUCUGUUGCUGCUCUCUUACUUCCCUUCUCUCCUUUAUCAGAGCUGAUUGUAGUGCAGCAGCACGACUCAAUGAUCCUUCAGGAUUUUUAAAAAUUUUAACAGGGGACAUAUCAACUGAAUAACGACUCUGCCCUUGCAAGAAAGGGGGUUCAUCUUCGUUCAACUCAACCUCAAGCUCUUCUUCAGCACCUUCUUCCUGAUAGAGCAUUCCGUUCCCUUCUUCAUCAAACAUGGGAUGUUCCUGCACCCCCAAAACACCUGCAGCAAUAAGUUGUUUCCCUUCCCAUUUUUCAGGUGAACUCAUCCUCUUCAGCGGUCUACGUGAUGGAAUUACAUCCUCCUGCUCCAUAAUCCUGAUUCCUGACAGACCAAUCCUGGUCUUAGAACCUUCACCAUUCAUGGUUGAAGGAUUAGUUGUCAACCGAUCGUCGCCUAAGCUCUUUUUCAAUGGCAACAGAUCCUUUCCUGUAUUCUGAUCAACAUCUCUCAUUGACAAACUCAGCUUCUGCCCACUAAUAGAUAUAACCUUCACAAAAACCUCCUGGUCCCGCUUUACUAAAUCUUUGGCAUUAGUGACCCUUCUAGUAGCAAGUUGUGAAACAUGCACCAAGCCUUCUUUCCCUCUAAAAUCACUCAGCUGAACAAAACAACCAGAAUCCAUCACCCUUGAUACCCUCCCCUUAUAUACUGCAUACAAUUCUGGCUCAUCCACGUGAUGCCUUGAUUUUCUCAUAUCCCUCCGAUCAUCAUCGCUUUCUUGCUCAUACUCAUCUCUCCUACCUUUUGCAUAUGCAUCAUCCUCAUUAUCCCUGUCCCUGUCUCUGUCUCUGUGCCUUUCUGAAGUCAUACGUUCAGCUCUACCAUCAUCAUAAUCAUCCCUAUCUCGAUCCCUACCUCUAUCCCUGUCUCUACACCUUUCUCUUCUAUAAUCUCUAUCCCUCUCUCGCCUACUACCGCAUUCUUCUUCCUCCACAUCUCUCCUCUUACUCUUGGCUUCCAGCUCAAUCUCCUUUUCCAAUUCCUUAACUCGUUCUCUAUUAUCUCUUAUCUUGAGAGCGGAAAACUCAGAAUCAUUAUCAUCCUUAUUGAAAUCCUUGUCCGACUUCGACGUGACUUUAGGAGGCAAAAUAGCAUGUAUUAUAGUUAGCAAUGUUUUAACAAAAUAAUCAGGCAUUUCAGCACCACUUUCUUUCAAUUUAGCAUCAAAUUCAUCUACUGUUGAGCAAUUUCUACCAAGUUCAGUUAUAAAUUCAGCUAAAACUUUAUCACCAAACCCUAAAUGUGCUUCCAAUUCAGAACAUACCUUAGAAAUUAGAGAGAGAUAUUCCAAUUUCUCCAACUCAUUUUCUUCAGUGUCAGUUCCCAUUCUUCGAACGAUUUCGAAUAGGUCUUACGCUGUUGCUAAUCUAAGGGAUUUCGUGUUUCCUGUGUUUUCUUUUCUACUACAUCUAAUCUUAAUAUGUUUUACAAGGUGUACUCUCUCUCGUAUGAUGUUUUUUUGCUUUUUGGAAUUUAAAAUUAUAUGAACUUUAAUUGUUAUUUUAAAUGACAAAAAAUGUAAUUUAUUAUUUUUUUUCUGUAAAUUUUAAAUGUUUUAAUUUAAUUUAAAAAAAUUAAAUUGAUAAUUUGAUAUAAUUUAAUUUAGUUAGUUAAGUUGCUUUAUUUGAAUACGGUAGAAAGAUUUGCUUCGAAUUUAAAUCUCUCAUUUUCGCUGUUUGUUUUCCUAUUCGGUGUUUGAUAUUUGAAAUUAGAGCUCAAUUACUUCAAAUUAGUGUCGCGUAGGAUUCAAUUCGGGGAAUAGUGUUCCUAUAAAAAAAUCAUAUUUAGGGAUCGAAUUUGAGGUCUUUGAUUAAGGAAGGAGCAGUCCAAUCGACUACACCAUAUUAGUUGGUGAUCUCAUUUUGGUUGCACUAUAAAUGAAUGGAGAUAAUAUCUCAGAUUGUCACUCAAUUAACAGUUUUUUCCUUAUUAAGUCACUUAACUAAGGAAUCUUCCCUCAGAAGUUCACUCAAUUUUCUUUUAUAACCUAAAGGAUUCUUCUCAUAGAAUGUCACUUAACUGUGAAUAUUUUACCAAUAAAAUUACUCAACCUAUUUAAUUAGUUUUUUCUUAAAAAUUUAUUGACAUGAUUUUUUUAAAUUUAAAACCAACAUUAUAAAAAAAAUCUCAUUUCUAUUCUAAGUUAUACAGAUAGUAAUAGACGAUCCAUCCCUUUCCUAUUUGCAAGUCUUUCUAGUUUUGUCUGCUCAAUAAUCAAGCAUAUAGAGUUUUGAUGCUCUAGGUAGAUGAAACGAUACUCCAAUUAAUAGUAGCUCCACAUAAGGAAACAUCAAUAACUAUAUGUAGUGGUGUUUACGUUUUAAAUAAAAAUCAAUCCAAAUAGAAAAAUCGAACUAAGUCAGUUUUAUUUAGGUUUGGUUUGAUUUUAGAUUUUUGAAAAUCGAUAGUAGUUGGUUUGAUUUUGAUUUUGAUUUUGAUCUAAAAAAUGAAGAAAUAACCAAACCAAACCGAUAAAUUAUAUACAUGCAUAACAUAUUAUUUUUAUAAACAAUUUUAAAUAUCUUCUAUAUGUUUUCAACAAAUGUUUUUUAUAAUUUAUUUCUGAAAGCAAAAACACUCAAGACGAGAAUAUUUAUCUUAUUGCUUUCAUGUAUAUGAGUGUCUAUCGUAAUUCUUGGUAAGACUAGAAAUGUCAGUGUCUCUUCCUUCUAGGACAAAAUAGUGAAUUUUAAAACUUUAUUUACAGUAACUUCAGUGAACGAAAGUUAUGUAAUGUUAGUCGUUCUAACUAUUUCUCGUUUUGAAUGAAUUGUUGUAUUUUUUCCCUCUUAUGAAUGAAUCAUUUUUUUAAUUUUUGUAUAUAGUUAAUAACCGAACCAAACUAAAACGAAACUGAUAACAACCAAACUGCUAGAUGUAUAUUUGUAUUUUGUUUGAUUUGGUUUUGAUAAUUUAAAAAUCGAUGAAAUUGGUUUGAUUUUGGUUUUGACCAAUAACUAGUCCAAACCGACCUGUGAACACCCCUAACUAUUGGUCCUCUAAUCUUGUCUUUGGUGUGUGCUUAUUUUUACUUUCAUUAGCCGGAUUUUCUUUUUCUUUUUUAGAAAAGAGGCUUAAUCCAUCGGUGGCUUCCUAAAGUUGGCACCAAUUUUCAGUUAGACACCUUAACUAAGCUUUAUUUAUUUUAGACACUUUAUGUCAUAUCCAUUAUGUCAUUUCGACACUUUUUUCACAAUCUUCUGUUGACCCUAUGCGAGUGUUGACCAAACAUGUCCACAUGAAUUAAAUGACCAAGUAUAUCAUGUCAACUCAUUUUAAAGUCAUGUUAUUAUACAUUAUACACAUAGAAAUAAUUUUUUUUAAAAAUUAACGGUCAAAUAAAAAAGGUUUUGACCAAUUAAAAAUAAAUUAUUUUGAAGAUUUCCCUUCCCACUCCUCAUCCCCUACCCACCCCUGGUUAUCUUCUCCAUCAAGUUAAAUUUUUCACCACAACACAAUCACCUUCUUUAUCAAAUUUCUUCUUUUUCAUUUUCUUUUCCGCCGUAUUCCUCCAUUUUCAUGGUCUUUUUUGCAAUACCCACUUGAUUUCAUUGUCUUCUUUACCGCACCUUUCUCUCAUUUCUUCAUUUAUAUAAUUUGGUGUUUAGAAGCGUAAAUAUGAAAUUUGAGAAGUUAUAGUGGUUGUGUGAAUAUGUUAAAAUCAUGAUUGCAGAUUAUUAUUUUUUUAAACUUAAUUUUAUCCUCCAUUCUUUUAAAAAGGAGUUACAUUUUUAUUGUUGUCUUGCUGAACAAUGUGUAGUGUUUUAGUCUUUUCAGAUGCAAAAUUUAUUCUGCCAUCAACUGGUGAGGUUAAGUAUGUAUUGCACAUGUUCAACAAUAUCAGCAUUAUGUUUUUCUACACAUAAUAUAAGGUUUAAAAGAAGUCCUUAUAGGAAUAACACACGGAAAUUCUUGAGAGAGAAAAUGUAAGAAAAUGUAUUGGCUGAAAAAUGAGGAAGAAGAAGAGAAAAAAUAAAAUAUUUAGGAUAAAUAAGCCUCACAUGCGCAAUGAACGAGUGUAUCACACUCACUUUACCACAUCAACAAACGUGUCUAAAUGACACAAUGGGGCAUGACAUGAAGUGUCUAAAAUGAACAAAGUCUAGUUAAGGUGUCUAAGAGAAAGUUGGUGAUAACUUUAGGAGGUCAUCGAUGGGUUAAACCUUAGAAAAAUACAUAAAUAUCGCAUCACAUAUAUUACAUGCGCUAUGCAAAUUUGAUCAAAACUUCAUAUAUGUUUAUGCCUUCAUAGGGUUAGCAUCUUUGUAAGCAAAGUGAAAACACACGAGACCAGUAAAUUAUAUGAUCUUAUUCAAUUUGUGUACUUAAUUUUAAUAUAGUUUAAGUGGUAUAACACACAUUCUUUUUAAUAAGCUAUAUCUAUAUAUACUUAAACGGGGGAAAAGAGAAAAAUUAGGUAAUGUUGUACCUAAAUGCAGGACUAGUCCAGUGCUGAUCAUUCUAGUUUUUCCUAGUGCUACCCUGUACAAUUGACACGUGUCCAUUUAAAUUUUGAUGGACCAAAUUAAUAUUCUUGACCAAAUACUAUUAACCAUGGUUAUUACUAAUUCUAUUUCUCUCUCCUCUCUCAUCUCUUUCCUUUCCCAGCUUAAUUCUGCAAAGAACCUUUUCUCAAUCAACAAAUAAUUUGCUUUGUUAGCAAAAAGAUGAAAAUUGCUAAUAACAAAAUUGCUUUUCUUCCCAUUAUUUUCACACCAUAAUAAAAUAAGACAAAAUUCAAAGGAUGCAUUUGGGUUAUAAUAUUUUGAAAGUCCAACUAAAUGAGACUACUUUGAAGCUUGGUUUGGUGACAAUGGUGAUCGACAAAACUCCGUCGUCUUUUUCGUAACAUCAAUUUUUUCGAUUUGAAAUUUCUACAAAGGCCAACUAAAGGACCUAGAGAGGGCAUGCAAAUGGGUAGGAAAAUAUGUUCUCAUAUACCUUUUUUUUUCUUGUGAAAUUCUCCAUUGGAUUUUUUGGUUUCUUCUUCUCUUGUGGUAUUUAUAACCGUUAUCUUUAAUUGGGGCUACUCACCCAUUUCAAUCUUUAUCUUUUGAAACUCUCCCUAUUUGUUCAUAUGUAAAUAAAAAAAAAUCAGAUUUAAAAUUAUUGAUGUAAUUUUAAUUUUCACUUGUUUUAUUUACACGAAUGAUAUUUGAUUGCUCUGUUAUUCAGAGAGUUUUGGAAGGGAAAGAAGUGUUGUUGUGCUGAUUGAGAAAUGAAUGGAAGGAGAAAGAAUUAGUAAUAACCAUGAUUAAUGGUAUUUGAUCAAGAAAUUAAUCCGGUCCAUUAAAAAAUCAAAUGGACACAUGUCAAUUAUAUAUGAUAGCACUAUGUGAAACUGGAGAGAUCAACAUUGGAGAGGAGCCUCCUCCCUAAAUGCAAUAUAGCUCCUAAAAAAAAGUGUUCUCCAAGAUUAAGUUUUUUAGUUUCUUUAUUUACUUGUGUACCUAAUUUGAAAAUAUUAAAAGUUUAAUCAAAUGGGUCCAAUUAAACAUUUUGUUAAAAGUUUAUUUAAUCAAAAUUGUAUAUAUGCAAAAUAUUCUCUUAAAAUUUAUUUGUAAUAAAAUUGAUAUUAUUUUAUAAAAAUAUAUAUUGCAUAGUUCCAUAUAUACGUGCGAUACAUGUGUCGAAAAACUAGUAUACUUAAACACACGAUUUUUUUUAGUGACAUGUCAUUUGCUUUUACCCUUUACUAAUAGAUUUCACACCAGACAAAAUAAUCAUUUUAUUAUUUUCUAAUAAUAAGGAACAAUCAUAUAAUAUUUUCCUACUAUUUAGGAACUCAAAAUCAAUUAGAUUUUUGUAUUAAUUUUUUUUAAUGAAAAUGCCCCAAAAGGACAAAAUUUAUCAAGGAAACUUACAUAAAUUCCACUAGUUUAGGAGCUAAUUACUUAGAUACACUCUAGUUUGCAAUAUUACGAAUCUUAUCAAAUUUUGGUACAUUCAGAUACGUCCAGAUACACGUAUCUCGGGAUAUAUGAGGUAAAAAUUAGGUGUAAUUUAUUCUAGAUACACAUUAUCCAAGUGGAUUCACGUUUAUCUGAGAUACAUAACCGAUCUCACUCGCCACUCUCCUAUGUAUCUGGUGCAAAUACAUACGAAUCAAACCAUAUGCAUAGAGAUACAUGUAUCUAGUGUGAUUCACAUGUAUCUAGAAUACAUAACAAAUCUCACAGUAUGUAUGUUAAGUGUCUACAAAUAAAAGCAAAAAGUAGGCCCAAACGUUCCUGAUAAAGUGCGGAAAAAAGAAAAAAGAAGGACCAUACCCAAAAGUGACCUGAUUCAAAAAAAAAUAUCCGUAGAUAUUGAAGAGACACAAUUGAUUAGUUGUAUUCUCCAUUUAUCAAGAUACUUCUAGGUUUAUUGUUGGAGUUGUGUCGACUGGUUCAUCUUUUAAGCUACUUCGAGAUCUUUCUUUGUUUUUCGUUGUAUCAAUGCACAUGCUAUUCGUCUCCUCCUUAUUUCUUCAAUUCUAUUGUAAUAUUUUAACUUAUAUAGUCGACCUUUUUUUAUUUCUGUAACACCCCAAAAAUUUCUAAGCUAAGGCCUGAACCAUUUGUUAUUUUCAUGUAAAAUCAUAUUGGGUAAUUCUUAAAUUGUUCAUAAGUGUAAAAGUCAUUUCUUUGGUGUUCGAAUGGAUUUAGAUAUGACUUACGGUCACAAGAACCCCUAAGCACAAAGUUGAAUUGAAAGCUUCAUUACCAUUAAGUUUUGACAUCAGAUUCUACUUAGGUCAACUUCAAACAAUCAUAUCUCCUAGAAUAUACUGAAUUAGGUAGCCUAUGACCUACCAAAUUAAAGGUAUUUGAGUCAUCUUUCCAAUGCCACCAAGUUUGUCUCAUUUCAUGUUCAGAGUAAAAAGUUAUUACCAUUUUACCAGAGACUGCCAUAUCAGAGUUUUCUGAGUCUGUGAACAACGUUUCCAACCGAUGGGCCGUAGAUUGUACGACGACCCAUCCCGUCAAGUCGUUGGUAGAGUACUUGGAGUCAACUUUUGGGACCCAAAUCCUACGAAACCAACCGACGAGCCGUAAGAAAUACUACGGGCCAUUGUUUGCACCCGUAAAUGGAAUUUUAAGCCUUAAAAAUUCAAUAUCAAUUCCACGGAUGGGAUCUACGGUCUGUAGAUCAAAUUGCGAACCGUAGAUAGUCAUGCAGACAUUUUUUGUCAGCUUUUAAAGAGGGGCAGUUCAGUUUUUUCCCACCCCUUCUAAGCCUAAAUCACGACCCUUUUUCACCUAAUUAAGGGUCUAAGCAGUGUUAAAACAUUAUUUUACAUUCUUUAACACUUCAAAGACUUAGAGCAAGGAUUCAAAAGGAGAAAAGCUAGGGUUUUUCAAGCGUUCUUCAAAUUUCAUCGAUUUCGCCAAGAACUUUGUUCUUGCCAGGUAUGUAAGGCUAUCAUAGUGUUGGACUAGUUCAUCCUCACGCCCUACAUCUACUUUCAAAUUAGUGAAAGAGUAAUCUAGGGUACUAUCCUUAAAUUUAAGUAUUCUUUAGAUGAGUUGAUUUUGAGUUCUUGAUUCUUUUUGAAAUUUUAUUCCUAAUUAUUGAAUUGCUAUACGUUAUGCAUUGAGAUUAUUGAGUUGAUCCGUUCAUAUCUAUAUUUCAGAAUGAACCCUAUGAAUUGAGUAUUCUUAAGAUGAGUAGUAUCGUUGAGUUCUGAAUAUUGAGUUUUUUAUAUUGUUAUUGAGAUCCUUGAGUUGAUUCAUUCAUGUCUAUAUUUCAUCAUGAACCCUAUUUUGAGUUAUAAAUCUUGUGAAUCUUUUAAAGCCAAUGUUUGUGUUUUAAACUGAGUUUUGAGGAAGUAAAGAGAAAGACCAUAAGGGAACUAAGUAUUUCCCAAAUAUUUCAUUUUUACAUGAAGAAAGAAAGUAUUAUUUUGAGAAAAGAGAAACGUUGAUAUAUAAAUGAGUUCAGAGAUAUUUAAGAGGAGUCACCUCUUUUAAGAGGAUAGUUUGAGCAAUUAUCUCAAACUAGAGAAAGAGUAUGUUUUUUUAUACAUUUGAGCAAGAAUAUAUAUUAUUGGGAGUAGUAUUAAGCACCAAUAUGGGGGAGAGUUUAAAUAACUCAUAACCCCCAUAAACCAUGUCUCAAUUUUAUGAAAGGCGCUCGUCAUGUUGCCAAAGCGAGAGGCGAGGCGAGGCGAGGCCUCGUCACCUAUUAUAUGCAUGGCGAUUCGAUUUCAGAAAGGCGAGCAAUGGCGAUAGAAAGGCGAGAGGCGACAUGGCAAUGAGGGGAGCCAUGCGUCACCUUUUUGUUUUUUGUUUUUGUUUUUAAAAGGUCAUAUUUAAUAAUUAAAAGGCAAAAUUAGGGUUUUAUUGGUGUUUUUGCAAACCUGGGCUACUCUUCUCUCUAUUGCGACUUGUGCGAUCUCUUCUCCUCUUCCAUCGUGACUCUCUUGCCUUCGAGAGGACGUAGCCUUCACUACUACUCAGACCUUUGAGUCGCGAGUCACGACUCUCUUAGGUACAUUCUUCUUAUUUUUUUUCCUUCUUCAGUUGUUAUCUACUUCUUCUUCUUCUUCUUCUUCUCUACUCUGUUUUUCAAGCAGUGGCGCAGGGCUCUAUUUUUCUUUUUCAAUUUGUAGCUACUGAACUUACUGCCAUUCUAUUUCUGCCUAUUUUUUUUAAAAAAAAAACAGUCCUUCUAUAUUUAUUUCUUCCCUACUCAAUUUAGUUUUAUAAUAAUUAAUAUAAUAUUUAUAUGUCCAUAAAUAGUGAAUUCAAUGGCGUCUAAUGGUAACAAAAAGGGCAUUGGAGUAUUGCUUGUCAAUUGUCUUAUGAAUUAUUGAGUCAUUCAAAUUCUAGACUUUUAAUAUCUACUAUUAGUUUUUGAAUUGAAAUAUUUUCUAAUGAAUGCUAUUGAUAUUGAAUUUUUGGAUAUUUAUAUAUGCAAUUAAAUAUUUUAAAUUUUUCGUAUUAAUUGACGCCUAAAUUCAAAAAGGCGAGCGCCUCGCUGCUCAGCCUCGCCGCGAGGCGAGGCAGGACCUUGUCGCCUUUCGCCUUCCAAAACACUGCCAUGUCUUGCCAACAUGGGUACACGAUCAUACUUUUUAGAUGAAUCCUUAUUGAUUAGUGGAUUCACUAAUUAGUUAAUGUGCUCUGUAUCUCGGCACGAUAUAAGACAGUUCUGGCAGUAUGGACAAGACGAUGUAUCAUCACUUAGCUCAUAGUGAUGGUUAUCGAUUGAGAAUCUCCUAAUAAAGUUAAAGUGUAUUCUUAUAUAUCACUUACAAUUUUUAAGUUCAAAGAAAGAGAAAGUUUUUUGUAAAGUAAAAUAGUUUCAUUUCUUUAAUUUUUUACAUUUAGUUGAGUUUAUGUAAUACCUAUUGCAAUCCUUUCAUUCACUUAUUUCGCCUCAACUAUAUUACAUACCCGUACAUUCAAAUGUACUGAUGUCAUUUUACCUGCAUCUUUUAUGAUGCAGAUACAAGUGUUCAGGAUUAUCAACAAGUGCUUCGUUGAGAUCAUUUGGCAGUCCAGUCAGCUUUGGUGAGCCUCCUUGCUUUUCGGAGGAUCUCACCAUUUAAUUUCAUGUCAUUGUAGAGUUACCGUGGGUCUUGUCUCGACUUCUAUCCUAGUAUUAGAGGCUUCAUAGAUAGUUAGACUUGUAGAGUUUCUGUAACACCCAUGAAAUUAGUAGGCUAAACUGGAGCUUGACGUGAGGGUUAGAGUCAUGAAUAUAACUCCCCAUACCUAAAACAAAGGUUUUCGUGUUAGAACGUCAAGGUACCAACCCUGAAGGACCAACUAGGGGCCCUUGAGGAAGACCCCUAGAAAAGUGCCCAAAAUAGUGACCACGGAAGGACCCACACCCCGUGGGUAGGUCCACGCCCCGUAGGUGGGGGUUUCGUGGUUGGCUAAAAACUUGCAAUCACCAGCCCACGCCCAACUAGCACGGGAAGUGGGUCAAACCACUCCCCGUGGUCGGGGUCUCAUGGUGAGGUAGUGAGUGGUUUUAAGAGGUUAAGUUGGGAACUGAUGGAACUUUUCAGAAUUAAUUAAGUAUUAAGUGACGUCAUUUUACCCUAGUUUAGACUACCUAUAUAAAGACUUUAGACCCUUAAUUAAGUCAUUCCAAAUCAUUAUUUAUAAAUCACCAAAAAGAACCCAAUUCCCUCUCUAGAAAGUGAAGAAGAAAAAGAAGAUUAAGCUAGAAGUAAAGACUCCAUUGUUUCAGGAUUUGUUGGCUUUCUAAUCAAGGUAUGAUGUCUUAUUCAUUCAUGGAUUCCUUUCAUCCAUGAAGACCCCAUGUUUUCCCCAAAUUAGAAGAAGAAUUCCCUAAGUCAAACUAGGGUUUCUUCUAAUGUUAUGGGUUAUGAUCCAAUAGAGUGGAUUAUGAUUGUUUGUGAUUAUUUAUGAUAUAAUUACAUGAUUUUAGUAUGAUUAUACAUGUAUCCAUGAUUAACCUAUGAUUCUAAGGUGAAAUUGAUAUAGUAGAGUUUUAUGUCAUGAAAGGGGAAAUUGAAGGGUUAGAUACGAUAUUCUAAGAUUGAUGAAUUACUUUAUGUAUUGCUUGAGAUUAGACAACCUAAAUAUGAAUUGUUUAAGGGUAAAUCAUAUAGACAUGAAUUGAUUAGAUUAAAGCUUUUAUGUAUUAAUUGAUGAUUUCUUAUGGUUUUAUGUUGAAAUCCCUUUAUUUCCCAAUUAUGAUCAUGUGAUGUGAGUUGUUGAUGAUAGAAAGAUAUUAUGAGAUUAUGCUUGUAGUAAUUGGGCUACUUGAAUUAUGUUAAUAUCCAUGUCUAAUGUAGUGAAUUCUAGAUGUGUUGAUUUGAUAUGGGCCUCGAUCCUUGAAAGAGCAAAGUAUGAUAUUAUGCAUGUUUUAUGAGGUUAUGUAUAUGUUUUAAGAACAUUUUGAGAGUGAAGUGUCUAUGUUUAUGAUCUAGUUGUUGUGUUGUUGAAAGGUUAUCCUCAUACACACAUUUAUGCAUGAAUAUGAUAUAAUUUGAAAGGUUUUCUCACAAUAAGUUGAAAGGCUUUCUCACCUAUUGAAUCUAUAUGUAGACAUGGAUGAUGAAAGGUUAUUCUCAUGCAUGAUCUAUGAGCUAUCUUAUGAAUUAUGUUGGAUUGAGUGUCAAGACAUUCUUCCAUGAGCAUGAACUUACGUCAAGACUUAGUAUGAACUCCGUGGGAAUUAAUGCUUAGCACCGAAUGGAUAUUGUAUAUGAGAUGGAAGCUUUUAUGCCAGUUGAGUCCGACUUUCGAAUAGAAGCUUUUAUGCUAGUUGAGUCCGACUUCCAAAUAGGUUCAUUCUACACUAUUUGAGUCCGGGUUCCCAAAGUAUGUAUCUUAUGAGAUGGAGACCUUUUACCUUAGUUGAGUUUGGGUUUCUAGUAGCAAUUUCCUUAUCCCAUAAACUAUGUGCCCCCGUAGGUUACUUAGCUAAUCGAUCCACCUAAGCUAAGAGUAUGGUUCUAUCUUAGGCGACUAGAACAACCCUUUUCGGUGUGUGUAUCACCGGAUUCCAUGUUAAGCUUACAUGGUCUAUGUCGGUUAAGGCUUAUUCCCACAACAAGAAUAUGAACAUGUAUAAUGAACCAAGAUUUACUUUAAGGAAGUAUUUUAAGUAUGUUUCUACAUGAGAUGGAUUGUAUGAUGUAUGCUUAGUUCAGAUUAUUGCUAUAGUUGCCUUUCUGAAUAUGUUUGACUAAAAAGGUGAGUGUUCCCUUGUCUAUGAGGAAUAAGCUAAGGAUGAUAUCAAAAGAUAAUGUAUAUGAAAGAGGGCCUAAAGUGGUUUACUUAGCAUUGGUGAGAUUUAUGGGUCUUAUUCAUGCAUUGCACAAGUAUUUCCUAAGGUUACUUAUGAAGUAUUCUCUUAUGUCAUGUUGAUUUAAGUGUAUUAACCAUACUUAAGGCUUAUGUGAUCUAGAUGCAUUGAUUAUGUCUAUGACUAAGUUGUUACCUUUUAGGCUUAUGAUUUAUAUUAUGUUAUCUUAUGCCUAUAGCCUAUGCCUUAUGAUGAUGUCUCUUAUGAUUAUGGUAUAUGUCUUAUGUUGACUAAUGCCUUUAUUGUGCUUAUGUUGAUGAUUUAUGCUAGCCAUCAUCUUUAGUACUUUAUUGGACUAACACAUACUCUUGCCUACAUUCUUAUCAAAUUUAGGGUCCGGCGAUAUUGACUUUCUUUCCCAUGGCUAGGAUCUUAGUAGAAGCAAGCAAGUGAAGAUUUGGUGAGUCCUUAUAGCAUCGAUGAUUUGACCACUCUAUUAUUUAUGUCUUUCUUUAUGUUUAGACUUUUGUAUGGGCUGUGUCCCUAAGACUUUCAUGUAUUAGAUGGUUUGAGACAAUGUUACAGACUUUCGCUUCAUUUCAUGAGACUUUGAUUGUAUUGUAAAAGUGUUUUAAAUUUCCUCACCAUUUUCUAUUACCUUAUGUUAUGAUAUACUAAGAGGCUUGUAUGAGGCUUUUCAGAGUCUUGUACGCUGUGUCACAUCUAGGGGUUACCCCUGGGUCGUGACAAACUUUGUAAUUAGAGCACAAAGUUUAGAAUGGUUCUAAGAUGUCUCGAACCACGUCUAGUAGAGUCUUGUUCACAAGUGUGAAGCGACAGACUUUCGCUUCAUUUCAUGAGACUUUGAUUGUAUUGUAAAAGUGUUUUAAAUUUCCUCACCAUUUUCUAUUACCUUAUGUUAUGAUAUACUAAGAGGCUUGUAUGAGGCUUUUCAGAGUCUUGUACGCUGUGUCACAUCUAGGGGUUACCCCUGGGUCGUGACAAACUUUGUAAUUAGAGCACAAAGUUUAGAAUGGUUCUAAGAUGUCUCGAACCACGUCUAGUAGAGUCUUGUUCACAAGUGUGAAGCGAACCAAAUUUAUGAAUGAGAGGCUAUUAGAUGUUUAGGAAACUUCACUUCUUUCAUUACUCUUAAGUCGUGCGAUAAAGUUUAACUCUAUAAGAUAUUUCUCUACUAAUCCUUACCCGGUGGUCUACAGGGCAUGACUACUCAAGAAGCUUUCACUAGUGGAAUUGAAGGAGACAUGGUUGAUCAAUGAGCUCCUCCUCAAGCUCAUCAAGCUUCGAUUGACCCUUUGAAAGAGAAUGUAACGAAUGAGAACUUUAGGUUUUGUUUUUGUCAUGUCCCGAAGCUACCCCCAGGACGCAGACACGGGACCUAGGAUCAUGAGUGACCCCAAGGUAACCCUGCUAGUAUAUCAUAAGCAUACUUAAAGAUAACUGAAUUAAGAAAGUACUGUACGAAAGCUUAAACAACAUGUAAACUGAAAUGAUGGGGAAUACCCAUUAAUAUCUGAAUAAAAGAACUAUGAGUUUAAUGACAAUUGAAAUAUCAAACUCCAAAGUUAAAACUGAAUCUAACUAUGUCUGAAAUAAAGCCUCUAACUGACUAGAAAUGUUAGGACAUCCCCAGCUAGAUCUAACAAAACUGAAGACUAAAAGUAGAAAAGAUAAUCAUGUCAAUCGUCCUCGAAGAAUAAGGACUCACCAGUGAUGUUGCUGAACUGAAGAUCGGAAACCGAUCUAUGCGUAAUCUGGAAGCUGAGGACUUGAACCUACAUCACGAGAAGAUGUAGCGUAAGUAUGCGUCAGUACUUGAAGGGUACUGAACAUUCAAAAUAGAAUAAAGCUGAAUACAAUACAUAACUGAACAAAGCAUAUAACUGAGUAAUAACAUGAGAUAAGCAUAAUACUGUACUGAAAAUACUGAACAUGAACUAACUAAAAGCAAUGACCAAGUUUAUAACAUGCUGAAACUGAAAUCUGACUGUAACUGAUAACAUAGUCAAUGCAAUGGAAAUCUGACUGUGGGAGCUACUAAUAACCGACAUAAAACCACAUGAGCUGAAUGUGUAGUCCAAUGUAUACCCCUCAUCAAGAGGACCCGAUAUACUCUGCCAGGGGUAUAGAGGCAUGACUGGCGUGAUCACUAAAAUGUAAUUCCCAUAAAUGGGACUUAUAUACCUACGAGGGUACGUAGUUCUGGACUAUUCGGGUACGCUGAACCCUAGUCCACUCGGUCUAAGCCUACUCCCAAUUAGAAUGUAUAUAAGCAAUAGUAUGACUGAAAUACUAAAGUACUGGAUAACUCAAUUACUGACAUGCAAACUCUGAGAAUGCAACAAUUAUAACUCAUAAUGUGACAUACGUACACUGAAGCAUGUAUAUUUGAAAUAACUAACCUAGCAUGUAUAAUUCAUAAACUAAAAGAACUACAUAACUAGGGUUCUAAAUAUCAUACAAGAAACUAAGAAACAAUAUGAUAAUCUGAUUUGGAUCAUUCUAACAUCUAAAACCCAAUAAUUUCUAACAUUCAAGAAACCCUAGGUCUAGAUAAUAUGUAGGGAAUCAAGAUUCUGACUGAAAUCUAGGGACCUAAUGGGUGAAAGGAACCCACUAGUGAAAUCCCACAUACCUGGUGACAAAAUUCACGGAGAAAUCUUUUGAUUUCGGGGUUGGAACUGAUGAAAACUCGCUGCGUUCUUGGACUAAGGCUUGGUCGACUCUUUCUCCUUCUUUUUGUUCAACUUGAUGAAUUUUUUUGGAGAAUGAGUGGACUAGGGUAAAUUCUAAUUAAGUUACUAGACUAAAAAUGACCAAAAAUACGUAGUUUAGGGUUAAACGACAUAGUUUAGGGGUCCAAUGCAUAAGGAAAAGACCAAACGACUCCUAACUUAAAUGUUGUCGGGCCAACCGACGGACCAUGGAUGGACUGACGGUCUGUUUUGGUCAGCCGUCGAUUGAUACUAGAAGUUGAGGACUGGGGGUCUGACCUAUGGCCCUGGACCACAGACUGUGGUCUGACCUACGGUCCAUAGUUCCUGGUGUGGGUUUACCCUUAGCCUAAUUUUCUUGGCUUUCUAGGGAGGGGUUGCAGGUGGCCAUCUACUGACCCCACCUACGGUCCGUGGGUCACCUUACGGUCCGUGGGUGGUGCCUGUCGGUGGCACCUGCUACUUCUGAUUUCUGCAAUCUGGUCUGUCUAGGGUACGGGGUGUUACAUUAUCUCUCCCUUGGGAACAUUCGUCCUCCAAUGAAGACUAUACUAGCUGAAUAGGGAGGGAAAGAGUUGCAAACCCUACCACUAAUUAUUGGAAACUGAUUUCUGACUGAACUAAGUUCCAAGAACAUGCAAAUACGCUGAAAAUGCAAGUACAAACUGAAGGAACAUGAUACUAGGACUGAAGCUACCCAUGUAUGACUGAAAACCUAGAGAUGAACUAUUACCUCAAGCUGGAAUGGAAUCGGAAGGAAAGAGAUGAGGAUACUCGGUCUUCAUGGUUGCUUCUGCUUCCCAAGUAGCUCUCUUUAUAGACUGACUCCUUCACAAAACCUUUACUGAAGAGACUUCUUUGUUUCUCAACCUUCGAACCUGACGAUAAAGAAUCUCAACUGACACAUCCUCAUAAGUGAGACUAUCCUUCACAUCCACACUAUCUAAAGGUACUAUAGAUGUUGGAUCACCCACACACUUCUUUAACAACGAAAUGUGAAAGACCGGAUGCACUGCUGCACUGGUAACUCUAACUCAUAAGCCACUUUACAAAUCCUUUUCAGAAUCUUGUAAGGGUCUACAUAUCUAGGACUAAGCUUCCCUUUCUUGCCAAAUCUCAUCACCCCUUUCAUAGGUGACACUUUCAAGGAAACCCAAUCAUCAACUUGGAACUCUAGUUCCCUUCUCCUUACAUCUGCAUAAGACUUCUGGUGACUCUGGGCUGUCUUAAGUCUAUCUCGAAUGAGUUGCACUUUCUCAAUAGAACAAUGGACUGAAUCUGGCCCUAUCAAGGCUGCUUCACCAACUUCAAACCAACCAACUGGAGAUCUACAUCUACGCCCAUACAAUGCCUCAUAAGGGGCCAUCUAAAUGCUGGAAUGGUAGCUAUUAUUGUAAAGAUAUCUGUAUCUAUGCCCAUACAAUACCUCAGAAGGGGCCAUCUGAAUACUGGAAUGGUAGCUAUUAUUGUAGGCGAAAUCUAUAAGAGGAAGGUGAUCAUUCCAACUACCCUUGAAAUCGAUCACGCAAGCUCUUAACAUGUCCUCUAAGGUCUGAAUGGUACGCUCUGCUUGACUAUCCGUCUGUGGAUGAAAUGUUGUGCUAAGAUUAACCUGAGCACCAAGACCUUUCUGAAAUGACUUCCAGAAAUGAGAGGUAAACUGAGGAACUCUAUUUGAAAUGAUAGACAAAGGAACCCACCCAUGCAACCUGACUAUCUCAUUAAUGUAAAGCUUGGCGUAGUCCUCUGCCGAAUCUAUAGUCUUAAAAGCCAAAAAUUGCACAGACUUAGUAACUCUGUCAACUAUCACCCAAAUGGAGUCAAGUUGUCUGCGAGUACGAGGUAAACCUGUAAUGAAGUCCAUGUUGAUCACUUCCCACUUCCAAGUAGAAAUGUUGAUCUCUUGAGUCAUACCUCCUGGUUUCUAAUGUUCUACCUUCACUUGCUGGCAAUUAGGACACUUAGCCACAAAAUUCGCUAUAUCCCUCUUCAUACUAUUCCAUCAAAAGACUUCCCGCAGAUCGUGGUACAUCUUAGUGGCGCCUGGAUGAAUAGAAUACCUGGAAUUAUGGGCUUCUACAAGAACUUGUUGUUUCAACUCACACACCUUAGGAACACAUAAUUGACCCUGAUAGUGAAGCACACCAUCUCCCCCUUGGGAGAAAACCUCAACUCAUUAGUUGAAGCAAUAUAGGAUCACUGUCUUGUUUUUUCCUUAACCUCCGCUACUAACGAAGAUUCUGACCCAUUCUGAACUGUCACCCCACCAUCUGAUAUGCUCAUAAGGCGAACUCCCAAGUAAGCAAGCCUGUGAACAUCCUUUGCUAGUUCUUUUCUUUCUUCCUCAACAUGUGCUACACUACCCAUAGAUAGUCUACUAAGGGCAUCUGCUACUACAUUUGCCUUACCAGGAUGGUAAUGCACACUCAUAUCAUAAUCCUUGAGGAACUCAAGCCAUCUCCUCUGGUGAAGAUUCAACUCUUUCUGGGUGAACACAUACUGAAGGCUGUUAUGGUCUGUGAACACAUCUACGUGAAUACCAUACAAGUAAUGUCUCCAAAUCUUAAGGGAAAAUACCACUGUUGCAAGCUCGAGGUCAUGAGUUGGAUAGUUCUUCUCAUGCACCUUAAGCUGUCUAGAAGCAUAAGCUAUAACCUUACAUCGCUGCAUCAACACACAACCUAGGCCGACUCAGUAGGCAUCACAAUAGAUCACAUAACCGUCUGAACCCUCUGGUAGAGUCAAAACAGGAGCUGUAGUCAACCUAGUUUUCAGUUCUUCGAAGCUUUUCUCACAAUCAUAUGACCACUGAAACUUAACCUUUUUCUGAGUCAACUUAGUCAAUGGAGAGGCUAUAGAUGAAAAUCCUUCCACGAACCUUCUGUAAUAGCCAGCUCAACCCAAGAAACUUCUGAUAUCUAUAGGAGAGGUAGGUCUGGGACAUUGUUUCACUGCUUCUAUUUUCUGAGAAUCCACUCGGAUCCCUUCGCUAGAAAUAAUAUGCCCAAGGAAAGUAACAGACUGCAAGCAAAACUCACACUUACUGAACUUAGUGAAUAACUGGCGAUCUUUAAGAGUUUUCACGACAACCCUUAAAUGAGUCACGUGUUCUUCUUCAUUCCUAGAGUAAAUGAGGAUAUUAUCAAUAAAGACGAUAACGAACAAGUCAAAAUACUGCUUGAACACCCUGUUCAUCAAAUCCAUGAAACUUGUAGGAGCAUUGGUUAGUCCAAAUGACAUAACUACAAAUUCAUAAUGACCAUACCAAGUUCUGAAGGCUAUUUUUGGAAUUUCAGUAUCUCUGACUCUGAGCUGAUGAUAACCGGAUCUGAGGUCUAUCUUUGAGAAAUGACUAGCGCCUUGAAGUUGGUCAAACAUGUCAUCAAUCCUGGGGAUGGGAUACUUAUUCUUGAUUGUGACUUUGUUCAACUAUCUGUAGUCAAUGCACAUCCUGAGAGAACCAUCUUUCUUCUUCACGAACAACAUUGGUGCACCUCAUGGGGAAUUAUUAGGUUUGAUGAAGCCCUUAUCUAGAAGGUCUUUCAAUUCCUUAAGUUCAACUGGAGCCAUUCUAAGGAGGAAUAUAAAUAGGCUGGGUAUAUGGAAGGAGAUCAAUUCUAAAGUCAAUUUCUCUUUCGAGAGGAACUCCGGGAAUAUCUUCUGGAAACACUUCUGGGAUCUCAUUAACUAUAGGGACUGACUCAAGAGUUGGGGUUUCAGAGCUUGAAUCCUUAACCCGAACUAGAUAAUAGAGAUAACCCUUACAUAUAAUGUUUCUGGCCUUAAGUUAAGAAAUGAAUUGACCCAUCGACGUUAAGCUAUUACCCUUCCAUUCUAAGAUUGGUUCGUCUGGAAACUGAAAACGAACGAUCCUAGUUCUACAAUCAACUGAGGCAUAAUAGGAAUGUAAUAAAUCCAUGCCUAGAAUGACAUCGAAGUCUACCAUUUCUAACUCUAUAAGAUCUACUGAGGUGUCUUUCUGAGAGACUGUGACAGGGCAAUUUCUGUAUACCCGUCUAGCUAUAAUUGGGUCACCGACUAGAGUAGAAACUUAGAAGGGUUCUGAGAGAGUUUCUAGACCGACGUUAAAGUUUACUACUAUAUAGGGAGUAACAAAGAAAAGAGUAGCCCUUGGAUCUAACAAAUCAUAAACAUCUAAGUUAAAAACUCGUAACGUCCAGUGAAUACAUCAGGAGAAUCUUCCUAAUCCUGGUGAGCCUGAAGAGCAUACAACUUAUUUUGGCACUGUCCGCCACCUGUACCAGAUGAGUUACCCUGCUGAGUCGGGUGAUCUGCUGAUGCUGCUAAAGUUGUAGACUGAGCCCUACCAUUGUUGCCUCCUUGACCCUGUUUAGCAGAAGGACAAUCUCUCAACCUGUGACCAGACUGACCACACCCAAAACAUUUUUCCUUUCCUGCAAGACACUCGCUCAGAUGGUUCUUUCAAUAAUUUGGACAAGUUGGGUAGGUUCUGGUGCCUGAAACACUCCCCUGAGACUUAGAGCCUGAUGCCCUACCUUUCUGAUCCUGUCGAAACCUGGAAGAUGGAACACUAGCUGAUGAAGGUGCUGGAGCUGAAGACUUUUGCUGAAACUUUGAGCGAUUUCCACCACCCGAUUUAUGUUGAGAGUACUCAUAGUUGCCUGUUCUAGCCUUCUUAUUAUCCUUAGCCAGCUCCCUAAGUUUAUUUCCCUCAACCUGCUGAGCAUGAGUCAUGAGCCUAGAGAUGUUCAUAUUUUCCAUCAGCAUAGCAUUCCUACACUCUAUUUUCACUAAGUCGGAUACCCCAUAUAGAAACUUGUUCAUUUGAGCCCUGGAAUUAGCAAUCAUGUGAGGAGCAUACCUGGAGAAUUGGGUGAACUUGAGUCCGUACUCUUGGACUGUCAUGUUACCUUGCCUCAAAUUCAUGAACUCCUGAGCUUUUGCCUCCCUCAACCCUCUUGGGAAGAACCUGUCCAGAAAAGUCUCACUAAAGCACUCCCAAGUGAUAGGAGUUGUAUCCGUACCCCUGUUUUCUUUCCAUUGAGUAAACUAGAUGUGAGCAACAUCCAUAAGCUGGUAAUAUGCCAACUCUACCCUAUCAUUACCAGUCACUUGCAUCACUCCAAAUAUCUUCUUGACCUCAUCUAUGAAGUUUUGGGGAUCCUUACCAAUCUGCGACCCUAAAAACUCAGGCGGAUUCAUCCUAACAAAGUCACAAACCCUGGCUUCCACUGAUUCACCACUAGCAUUUGUAGGAACUGGAACCUGCUGAUUGUUCUGGUUGGUUACACUCUGAGCCAAAAGCUGAAUGGCAUUUCAGAACUCUGCAUUCAAAACUUCUUGAUAUGGUACUAGAGGGGAUGCGUUAGCAUUAUGUGCAUUUGCAUUCCUUUCGUAAGCUCUACGAGGAGGCAUGAUUUGAAAGUGCAUAACGUCGAAUUAGAAACGAGGAAUUAGAUCAUACUUUACGCACGAUAAGAAUAUUAAGAAAGUGAAGUUUUUCCUAAAACACUUCGUAUACUCCCUCUCAUUAGAUGUGGUGCACUUCACACCCAUGAAAAUGACUCUACUUAGUGUGGCUUUUCAGAAAUCCUAGGACACUUAAACCUAAUGCUAUGAUACCAAGUUUGUCACGCCCCGAAGCUACCCCCAGGACGCGAACACGGGACCUAGGAUCACGAGUACCCCCAAGCUAACCCUACUGGCAUAUCAUAAGCAUACUUAAAGAUAACUGAAUUAAGAAAGUACUGUGCGGAAGCUUAAACAACAUGCAAAUUGAAAUGAUGGGGAGUGCCCAUUAAUAUAUGAGUAAAAGAACUAUGCGUUUAAUGACAACUAAAAUAUCAAACUUUAAAGUUAAAACUGAAUCUAACUAUGUCUGAAAUAAAGCCUCUAACUGACUAGAAAUGCCGAGACAUGCCCCAAGCUAAAUCUAGCAAAACUGAAACUGAAGACUAAAAGUAGAAAAGAUAAUCAUGUCAAUCGUUCUCGAAAAAUGAAGACUUACCACUAAUGUUGCUGAACGGAAGAUCAGAAACCAAUCUAUGCGUGAUCUGGAAGCUGAGGACCUGAAACUACAUCACGAGAAGAUGUAGAGCAUAGUAUGCGCCAGUACAUGAAGGGUACUGAGCAUGCAAAAUAAAAUACAUAACUGAACAAAACAUAUAACUAAGCAAUGACAUAAGAUAAGCAUGAUACUGUACUGAAAAUAAUGAACAUGAACUAACUGAAUGCAAUGACCAAGUUUAUAAAAUGCUGAAACUAAAAUCUGACUGUAACUGAUAACAUAGUCAAUGCAAUGGAAAUCUGACUGUGGGAGCUACUAAUAAUCGACAUAAAACCACAUGAGUUAAAUGUGGAGUCCGAUGUAUACUCCCCAUCGAGAGGACCCAAUAUACCUUGCAAGAGGUAUAAAACAUGACUAGCGUGAUCACUAAAAUGUAAUGCCCACAUAGGGGACUUAUAAACCUAUGGGGGCACGUAGUUCUGGGACUAUUCGGGUACGCUGAACCGUAGUCCACUCAGUCUAAGCCUUCUCCCAAUUAGAAUGUAUAUAAGCAAUAGUAUGACUGAAAUGCUGAAGUACUGGAUAGCUCAAUUACUGACAUGCAAACUCUGAGAAUGCAACAAUUAUAACUGAUAAUGUGACAUUCGUAAACUGAAGCAUGUAUAUAUGAAAUAACUGACCUAGUAUGUGUAAUUCAUGAACAAAAAGAACUACAUAGGUAGGGUUCUUAAUAUCAUACAAGAAACUAAGCAACAAUAUGAUAAUCUGAUUUGGAUCAUUCUAACAGCUAAAACCCAACAAUUUCUAACAUUCAAGAAACCCCAGGUCUAGAUAAUCUGGAGGGAAUCAAGAUUCUGACUGAAAUCUAGAGACCUAAUGGGUGAAAGGAACCCACUAGUGAAAUCCUACAUACCUGGCGACGAAAUUUACGAAGAAAACUUUUGAUUUUGGGGCUGGAACUAAUGAAAACUCAUUGUGUUCUUAGACUAGGGAUUGGUCGACUCUAUCUCCUUCUUUUUGUUCAACUUGAUGAUUUUUUUGGAGAUUGAGUUGACGAGGGUAAGUUCUAAUUAAGUUACUAGGCUAAAACUGACCAAAACUACGUAGUUUAGGGGUCUAACACAUAAGGAAAAGACCAAACGACCCCUGACUUAAAAGUUGUCGGGCCAACCGACGGACCGUGGAUGGACCGACGGUCCAUUAUGGUCGGCUAUCGAUCGAUACUAGAAGUUGAGGACUAGUGGUAUGACCUACGACCUUGUCCACAGACCGUGGUCUGACCUACGGUCCAUAGGUCCUGGCGUGGGUCUACCCUUAACCUAAUUUUCUGGGAUUUCUGGGGAGGGGUUGCAAGUGGCCAUCCACGGUCCCCACCUACGGUACGUGGGUGGUGUAUGUCGAUGGCACCUGCAACUUCUGGUUUCUACAAUCUGGUAUGUCUAGGAUACGGGGUGUUAAAGUUUUCAACUGUUGACUCAUGCUGGGGUAGAAACUCUGGAAUUUGAUGGGUCAAAGAUGGAGGAAAAUCCUCAAGAGUUUAUAGAUGAGGUCUCUAAGGUGAUGGACUUUGUGGGAGUGACUCCGGUAGAGAAGGCAAAGUUGGAUUCUUAUCAACUUAAAGGGGUUGCUCAAGUUUAGUUUAAACAAUGGAAGGAGGCUAGACCGGUAGGAAUGGGUCCCAUAGAGUGGGAAAGGUUCAAGGGUGCUUUUCUAGAUAGGUUCUUCCCCCCUAUAGAUGAGAAAAGCUUUAGUGUUUGAGUUCAUCAACCUUAGACAAGGUAAUAUGAGUGUUAACGAAUAUGCAUUGAGGUUCACCCAAUUGUCUAAGUAUGCUCCAUCAUUGGUGGUCGACUCUAAGUCGAGGAUGAGUUAGUUUGUGUCAGGAGUGUCCGAUUUAGUAGUGAAAGAAUGUCGUACCGCUAUGCUCAUUGGUGGCAUGGAUAUUUCUCGUCUUAUGACUUAUGCUCAACAAAUUGAGAAGGAGAAACUAAAAGGGAGAGCUAGGGAGAAAAAAAGGUCUAGAAAUGAUGAUGGUGAUUCCUCUCAUGUGAGGUCCGAUGUACAUGGUCGUUCUAGGUAUCGACAAAGGUCUUUCGGAUGAGAUUACUUCAAUGCUCCCAAGAAUAGUGAAGAUAGGGUGUCUGACCCUAAACCACAAGGAAUUAGUAGUGAGUCCCUAUGGCCUACUUGUGCUAGGUGUGAUAGGAGACAUGUGGGUAAAUGCCUACUGAGUUCCAAUAAUUGCUUCGGUUGUGGUGAGUUAGGCCACAAGAUAAGGCAUUGCCCUACGGCUGCUACAAAAGAAGGGGAUAGUUGUCGUAGGUCUCAACCCUACCCUUCAUCCGGUCCAAUUGGUUCAGUUGCUAAUGCUCCAAAGCAAAUUAGGUUCUAUAUCCUCCAAGUUAGAGGUGAACAAGAGUGUCCUCCAAAUGUUGCUCCCGGUAUGUGUUUUAUGCUUUAUUAGAUUCCGGCGUAGCUUCGUCUUUUAUGACUUGAUAGACUUGAUAUGAUAGACUUUGAUGUUUUCUUUAGUGUGAAUGGGUUGCAUUAUCCUUAUUGUUUUAUUGAUGGAUGUGAAAGCUUAGUGAUGACUUGCUCCGACCUUAGAAUUGGAAGAAAUUAUGUUUAGAAAAGUUCGUAUAGGCUUACUCCCAAGCGGGAGAAUUUCAAGCAAACCCAAAUCAUGAACAUCAAGAAUACUCAACAACCUUGCUACCUAGAAAGGUGUAGUGAGUUUGGGAAGUUUAGUCCCCGUUUAGUAGGCCCAUAUGUGAUCUUGAGAUAUGUUGGUCAAGGUGCUUAUGAGUUAGAGUUGCCUAAAGAGUUAGCAUAGGUGCAUCCGGUUUUCCAUGCCUCUUGGAUAUAGAAGGGUGUUGGAGAUCCAACAUUCAUGGAUCCCUUAGAAGAGUUGGGAGUUAAUGAGAAUUUCUCUAAUUUAGAAAUACCGGUAGGGAUCUUAGACAGGUAUGUUAAGAAAUAGAAGAACACGGAAGUUGCUUCCAUGAAAGAGUUAAAGGGUGAUCUUUUAUUGAGGGUCUUAGUUGAGGGUGCUACUUGAGAGGCCGAGGCCAAUAAGAUUCCCCAAUAUCCUCAUCCUUUUUCCUUAUAUUCCUUCUUUAGCUUGAGAUGAUGAAUUUCUCAUGGUGUGUUCUUUAGGUGAAGUCAUGUGUGAUUUAUGUGUUUCCAUGGUUUCCUUAUGUAGUGCAUGUUCAUGAAAAACCUGUGUUUUGAAAGGAAAUGAGUUUGCAUGCUUGAUAUACCCAUGUUGUUGUGGAUUGAGUAUGAAUUUCCUAUUUAACUUCAUGAGAUGAAUCGACGAACAUGCUUUAGUUAUGUUUUUUGAAGAGUAAAUUGCAUAUUGACUCCUUGAGAUUGUGUUGAGCAUGCUUUAAAGCUUGGAGAAGGUAGUCCCUCCUAUGAAUAUGCGAAAUGUUGAGUUUUCAUACAUAAUGGGUUGUUAGAUGUAGUUCCUACUUCCUUGUGUUGCAUUGAUUAUAUUUAAGAUGGAGUUGAAGUUUCCUCUUUUAAAUUAUGCAUUAUUUUGAUGUUGCAUGCAUGAUGGGUUGUUAGUCUUGAGUCUUUACUUCCGUAAGGUGUCUAGAUCGUCAUUCGAGGAAGAAUGUUCCCAAGGGGGAGAUAUUUUAACACCCCGAAAAUUAGGAGGCUAAACUAGAGCUUGACAUGAGGGUUUGAGUCAUGAAUAUAGCUCCCCGUACCUAAAAUAGAGGUUUUCCUGUUAGAACGUCAAGGCACCAACCCUCAAGGACCUACUAGGGGCCCUUGAGGAAAACCCCUAGAAAAGUGACCAAAACAGUGACCACGGAAGGACCCACGCCCCAUUGGUGGGGGGUUUUGUGGUUGGCCAAAAACCUGCAGUCACUAACCCACACUCAACCAGCACGGGCCGUGGGUCAAACCUCCCCCCGUGGUCGGGGUCUCGUGGGUAAGGCAGUGAGUGGUUUUAAACGGUUUAGUUGGGAACUAAUGGAACUUUCCAGAAUUAAUUAAGUUUUAAGUGACGUCGUUUUACCCUAGUUUAGACCACCUAUAUAAAGACUUUAGACCCUUAAUUAAGUCAUUCCAAAUCAUUAUUUCUAAAUCACCAAAAAGAACCCAAUACCCUCUCAAAUAUUCUCUCUCUAGAAAGUGAAGAAGAAGAAGAAGAAGAAGAAGAAGAAGAAGAAGAGGAUCAAGCUAGGUCAAGUCAAGACUCCAUUGUUUCAAACUUUGUUGUCUUCGUAAUCAAUGUAUGAUGGUUUAUUCAUUCUUGGAUUCCUUUCAUCCAUGAAGACCCCAUGUUUUCCACAAAUUAGAAAAAGAAUUCCCUAAGUCAAUCUAGGGUUUCUUCUAAUGUUAUGGGUUAUGAUCCAAUAGAGUGGAUUUUGAUUGUUUGUGAUUGUUUAUGAUAGAAUUACAUGAUUUUAGUAUGAUUAUAUAUGUAUCCAUGAUUAACCUAUGAUUCUAAGGUGAAAUUGAUAUAGUUGAGUUUUAUGUCAUGAAAGGGGAAAUUGAGGGAUUAGAUGUGAUCUUCUAAGAUUGAUGAAUUACUUUAUGUAGUGAUUGAGAUUAGAGCACCUAGAUAUGAAUUUCUUAAGAGUAAAGUAUAUAGACAUGAAUUGAUUAGAUUAAAGCUUAUAUGUGUGAAUUGAUGAUUUCUUAUUGUUUUUAUGUUGAAAUCCCCAAGAACCCAUGAAAUCCCCUUAUUUCCCAAUUAUGAUCUUGUGAUGUGAGUUGUUGUUGAAAGAAGGAUAUUAUGAUAUUAUGCUUGUAGUAAUUGGGGUACUUGAAUUAUGUUAAUAUCCAUGUCUAAUGUAACGAAUUCUAGAUUUGUUGAUUUGAUAUGGGCCUCGAUCCUUGAAAGAGCAAAGUAUGAUAUUAUGCAUGUUUUAUGAGGGUAUGUAUAUGUUUUAAGAACACUUUGAGAGUGAAGUGUCUAUGAUUAUGAUCUAGUAGUUGUGUUGUUGAAAGGUUAUCCUCAUAUACACACUUAUGCAUGAAUAUGAUAUGAUGUGAAAAGUUUUCUUAUAAUAUGAUGAUUCCAAGGUUGAAAGGCUUUCUCACCUAUUGAAUCUAUAUGUAGACAUGGACGGUGAAAGGUUAUUCUCACACAUGAUCUAUGAGCUAUCUUAUGUAUUAUGUUGGAUUGAGUGUCAAGACAUUCUUCCAUGAAUAUAAACUUAAGUCAAUACUUAAUAUGAUCUCCGUGUGAAUUAAUGCUUUGCAUCGAGUGGAUAUUAUGUAUGAGAUGGAAGCUUUUACGCCAGUUGAGUCCGGCUUCGAAAUGGAAGCUUUUACGCUAGUUAAGUCCAGCUUCCAAAUGGGUUCCUUCUACACUAGUUAAGUCAGGGUUCCUAAAGUAUGUAUCUCACGAGAUCGAGACCUUUUACCUUAGUUGAGUCCAGGUUUCUAGUAGCAAUCUCCUUAUCCCAUAAACUUACUUAGCUAAUGGAUCCACCUAAGCUAAGAGUAUGGUUCUACCUUAGGCAAGUAGAGCAACCCUUUUCGGUGUGGGUAACACCAGAUUCCAUGUUAAGCUCACAUGGUCUAUGUCGGUUAAGGCUUAUUCCCACAACAAGAAUAUGAACAUGAAUAAUGAACCAAGAUUUACUUCAAGGAAGUAUUGUAAGUAUGUUUCUACAUGAAAUGGAUUGUAUGAUGUAUGCUUAGCUCGGAUUGUUGCUAUAAUUGCCUUCCUUGAUAUGUUUGACUAAAUGUGAGUGUUCCCUUGUCUAUGAGAAAUAAGCUUAGGAUGAGAUCAAAAGAUGAUGUAUAUGAAAGAGGGCCUAAAGUGGUUUACUUAGCAUGGGUGAGAUUUAUGGGGUUUUAUUCAUGCAUUGCCCAAGUAUGCCCUAAGGUUACACUUAUGAAGUAUUCUCUUAUGUCAUGAUGAUUUAAGUGUAUUAACCAUGCUUAUGACUUAUUUGAUCUAGAAGCAUUGAUUAUGCCUAUUACUAUGUUGUUACCUCUUAUGGUUAUGAUUUAUAUUAUGGUCUCUUAUGCCUAUAGCCUAUGCCUUAUGAUGAUGUCUCUUAUGAUUAUGGUAUAUUUCUUAUGUUGACUAAUGCCUUUAUUGUGCUUAUGUUGAUGAUUUAUGCUAGACAUCAUAUUUAGUACUUUAUUGGACUAACUCAUACUCUUGCCCAUUCCCGUGGCUCGGAUCUUAGUAGAAGCAAGCAAGUGAAGAUUUGGUGAGUCCUCAUAGCAUCGAGGAUUUGACCACUAUGUUAUUUAUGUAUUUCUUUAUGUUUAGACUUUUGUAUGGGCUGUGUCCCUAAGACUUUCAUAUGUUAGAUGGUUUGAGACAAUGCUAAAGCCUUCCACUUCGUUUUAUGAGACUUUAAUUGUAUUGAAAAAAUGUUUUAAAUUUCCGCACCAUUUUCCAUUUUCUUGUGUUAUGAUAUGCUAAGAGGCUUGUAUGAGGCUUUUCAGAGUCUUGUACGACGUGUCACAUCUAGGGUUUCGUGACAGUUUCCCAGUACUUUCUUUCCUUUAAAGAUUGUUUUUGCAAAUGAAUAUUUUUAGACAUUCUUAUUGAGUUUAAGUUGAGAUGAUUUGAUGUUUUAAAGCUUAUUUAUGCUUGAGUAAGUCUUCCGCUAAAUAUGCAGUCAGGCCAAGGGUUCGCUUAGGCAUGAGAAAUAGUUCUCGAGUGCCAGUCACGUCCAGGGUGAGGGUCGGGGUGUGAAAAACUUUGUAUCAGAGCACAGAGUUAAAGUGUCCUAGGGUGUCUAUGAAACCGUGUCAGUAGAAUAUUAUUUAUGGUACCGACCCCACUUUUAUAAAUGAGGGACUAUAGACAUUUAAGAAAAGUUUCCCUUUUUUCAUACUCUAAUUUAUGCAAUAAAACAACGUCAUAAGAAACUUAUUCAGACUCACGCGUUUCUCAAAAUCCAUCGACUACCCCUCAUACUCAAGGUGGUUGAAAAGUAAAGCCCAGAUCCUUACGACGAGUCACUUUCAGUAAAAAGUCUUGAGAAAGUCAUGAGACUGCAUAGGGUCUUGAGAGAAGCACACGAGUGAGCUUCAGUGUUCAGAUUCAAAAGAAUGCACUCUUAUUCAUAUAAAUCAUGCAUUCGAGCUAAACGUGAGAUGUACUUAUAGACUCUCUUAUCGAAGCCUUGUUUUAGAUGAUACCUUUUAAGAUGGUAGUAUGUAUUAGAGCUUGGGUAGUAUUUUCACUCGAAAAGAUAGUAUGAGUUACGAUGUUAUUAGCAACAGUAGUAAAAGUGCCUAGAGUUAGAAGAAUGCAUGCAGGGAUAUAGUAAUCUAAGAAAGGGAGAUAGUGAUGGGAUAAAUCAUGUUAUUGCAGUCAUGCACCAGUAAGUUAUUAAUGAAAAGUUUUCCCUUAUGGGUAGACUAAGAAGUGUGAAUUUGUGUAAAUUUCAUGAUAGAAGGUAGAGUAAGAGUUACUAGUAUGGAUGAAUUAGAGUAUAAUUUAACAAAAAAGAAUUUAUGUCAAUGUAAUAUUGUGUUAGUGAAGGCCAAAUAUAGGUGUUGAAUAAAAGAGCAGAGUAUCAUGAGAUGAUAGAUCUAAGCUAGGCUUAUGAUUUUUUUUGGGAGCCAUGAUGUUCAGAGGGUUAUAAAAUUAAUCUGGAAAUGAUGUAUAGUGGAUGGGUGAAUGGUACUUAAGUUAUGAAAAGGAAUGUAACGAUAAUCUAUAUGUAGAUAGAUUGUAGAUAAGAAUGACCUACUUGUCAUGAGGUCUUAGUAGGCGAGUGUUUCUUAAUUUUAUCUAGUAGUUGUAAAUUAGUAUAGUAUGUGAGCAAUUAUAUUGAUAUAUGUGUUUGGUACCAGGCACUAAGCUUGAAUUUGAGAUGAGGGUCAUGAUAAAAAGGAUGGUAAUAUAAGGGUAGGUUAGUUUUGAGAUUUGAUCUAGUAGGUUUGACAUGAAGUAGGUGAAGAAUUAAGGUGUUAAUUUUUUAUAAUUGUGAGUGGUACAAGUGUGGUAUAAUGACCCUUAGAUGAGUGAAAUGAAGUGUGACAAAGUCAUUAGAUUAUUAAGAGCAUUGGAAGGUGUACUCGAGAUCGUAUGUUGCCAAAUGAGGUUCCAAUUAAGUUUAUGAUUUUUCAUAUGUACCUAGAUAGUAUAUUUGAGCUUUUAAUGUGGAUUAGGUUGAUGUAAGCAUUAUUUUUCCAUUAAGAGUUAGAUUAAGCGGCUCUAUAAGUCAAUGCGGGUAAUAAUUAUAGAAAGUUUAUAGAAGCCAAAAGAAGUUACGAGAAGCAUAUGAUAAAGAAUACUUAGAAGGAAUAUUAGUGCAUGCACAUGGAGAGUUCAGUAGUCAUAAGAUUAGCAUUUUCUGAGUAAGUAAAAUAAAUAUAAACUAGUUUAUAGAUGAUUGAUAGAUCCAUAGCUUUAAAGUAUCAGCUUCAGACCUAAGGGGGAGAUGAUGAAAUGAGAAACCAAGUCAAGUGUUGAGAAUCAGCUAGUGAUAUGUUCAGAAAGAGUUAAAGUGAUAUAUUGAUCCAUUCAUACUCUAGCGUAUUCCUCAAAGUUCAGUCAUUACAACAUCCUGUUGAUGCCUCUAAUAUCAUAAUUGUGUUCAUGACCUAUGUUCAUACACUUUAGAUAGAUUCACAUUUAUGCUCAGUUCCCAAAACGAGGGGUAAAGCCUUUAGCCCAUUGAUCUCAAUCUUACUCCAUAAAGUUUUGAAUAUCAACCUCAUUAUAUGAACAUAUUCAUAUAAGCACUCGUAUCUCUUAGUAUGCUCAGUCUUGCGAAUUAAUGAUUUACUCUCAAUGACUAGCAACAUAAUGUUAUGUCAUGCAUAUUCUUAUAUCAGAUAUCUUGAAUGAAUCAUACUUAUGAUCUUUCGCCCUAAGCUCUUUCAGUGAUCCUUUUUAGUUUUGGUAGCAAUGCUGAUGAUAGUAGUUGAGUAGUGAUAGAAAUAGAAGGUUGAUAUUUCUUAUUGUGGUAGUGGUGGUGUACUUAUCCCAUCUAAAGUUAUACUGUGGAGGAGGAAUAGGAUGGUGUUUUACUAUGACUAAUAACUAUAAGGUGAAAUUAGUUAGUUAGUUCCUGAUAGUAAUGCGUGAAAUUUCAAUUGAUAGAGAUAAUGAGAGGAGGAGGAAUUCUUAAAAGGAUUGGUUAGUAGGAUUCCAUGGAUUUUCUAUAGUACUAGGUUUGAAUGCGGUUAUAAGGAGAAGUAUUCUUGGAAUGAGAUUCCCUAUAGAGGUAUAAAACCCGAAUCUUGUGGUUUAAAUUAGUAUAACCAUCUCAUAUUUAGCACCUUGUGAUUUAGAGAUUAGGCUUGAACACAGUAAGAGCAAGCAAUUUGACUUAGACAUUUGUAAGAGUAGUGAUAUACUCUAGUGGGAGCUAUGAGUUACCGUUAAUGACGUGUAGUAAUCAGAAAGGAGAGCAUAGUUGAGAAGUGUUGCUAAGCUUAAAAGCUACUAGUCAUAUCACUCAAGGCAUAGUAUUCAUUUUCUUAUUUCGUUCCUAGAUAUCCUUGCUUUAUGUCAAAUAGAUUAAGAUAGAGCGUGACUAUGUUCAAACUCAUAACGUACGCAACUUAUGUGCUAUAGAGAAUUCCAAACUCUUAGUAUGAAUCAGCUCUGCCUAUAAUAGUAGACAAGUUCAAAAGUUAGAAAGAUAGUAAGAGUAACUUCUCUCCCUUCCAUCCUUAGUUUAACCAUCAUUCGAGGACGAAUGAUCCCAAGGGGAAGAUAUUGUAACACCCCAAAAAUUUCUAAGAUAAGGCCCAAACCAUUCUUUAUUUCCAUGAAAAAUUGUUUCGAGUGAUUCUUAAAUUGCUCAUAUGUGUAAAGGUCAUUUCUUUGGUGUUCAAAUGGAUUUAGAUAUGACAUAAGGUCACAAGAACCCCUUAACACAAAGUUGAGUUGAAAGUUUCAUUAUCAAUUAAGUUUGGACAUAAGAUUCUAUAUAUGUCAACUUCAAAUGAUCAUAUCUCCCAGCACAUACUGAAUUAGGUAGCCUAUGACAUACCAAAUUAAAGGCAUUUCAUUCCUCUUUCUAAUGCCACCAAGUUGACCUCAUUUCAUGUUCAGAGUAAAAAGUUAUGACCAUUUUACCAGAUACUGCCAUAUCAGAGUUUUCUGAGUCUGUGAAUGAAGACUCCAACCGAUGGGCAGUAGGUUUAAUGAUGACCCAUUUUGUCAAGUUGUCGGUAGAGUAUUGGGAGUCAACUUUUGGGACCUAAAUCCUACGGAUCCAACCAACAGGCCGUCGUUUGCACUCGUAAAUGGACUUUUGAGCCUUAAAAAUUCAAUAUCGAUUCACAGAUGGGCGAUCUACAAUCCAUAGAUCAAACCGCGAACUAUAGAUAGUCUUGUGGACAGUUUUCAUCAGCUUUUAAAGAGGGGUAGUUCAAUAUUUUUCCACCCCUUCUAAGCCUAAAUCACAACCCUUUUUUACCUAAUUAAAGGUCUAAGCAGUGUAAAAUUAUUGUUUUACGUUCUUUAACACUUCAAAGACUUAGAGCAAGGAUUCAAGAGGAGAAAAUCUAGGGUUUUCAAGCGUUCUUCAAAUUUCAUCGAUUUCGCCAAGAACUUUGUUCUUCCCAGGUAUGUAAGGCUAUUAUAGUGUUAGAAUAGUUCAUCCUCACGCUCUACAUCUAAUUUCAAAUCAGUAAAAGAGUAAUCUAGAGUUCUAUCCUUAGAUUUGAGUAUUCUUGAGAUGAGUUACGCAUUGAGAUUUUUGAGUUGAUUCGUUCAUGUCUAUAUUUCAGCAUGAACCCUAUGAAUUGAGUAUUCUUGAGAUGAGUAGUAUUGCUGAGUUCUUGAGUUUUGAGUUUGAGUUUUCUAUAUUGUUAUUGAGAUCCUUGAGUUGAUUCGUUCAUGUCUAUAUUUCAGCAUGAACCCUAUUAUGAAUUAUAAAUCUUCAGAAUCUUUUAAAGCCAAUAUUUAUGUUUGUAACUGAGUUUUGAGGAAAAGGAUUUUGAGAAAGACUAUAAGGAAACUAAGUAUUUUCCAAAUGUUUCAUUUUACAUGAAGAAAGAGAGUAUUAUUUUGAGAAAAAAGAAAAUUUGAUUUCUAAACGAGUUCAUCAGUUCAGAGAUAUUUCAGAGCAGUUACCUCUUUUAAGAGGAUAGUUUUAACAAUUAUCUCAAACUAGAGAAAGAGUAUGUUUUUAUACAUUUGAUCAAGAGUAUAUAUUAUUGGGAGUAGUAUUGAGCACCGAUAUGGGGGAGAGUUCAGAUAACUCACAGUCCCCAUAAACCAUGUCUUGCCAACAUUGGUACAAGAUCAUAAUUUUUAGAUGAAUUCUUAUUGCUUAGUGGAUCCACUUAGUUGAGGUGUUCUAUAUUCCGACACGAUAUAAGACAGUUCUGGCAGCGUGGACAAGACGUUGUAUCAUCACUUAUCUCAUAGUGAGAGUUGUUGGUUAGAGAAUAUUCCAAUAGAGUUAAAGUGUAUUUUUAUAUAUCACUUACGAUGUUAAAAUUCAGAGAAGGUGAAAGUAUUUUGUAAAGUUAAAUGGUUUCAUUCCUUUAAUUCUUUACAUUUAGUUGAGUUUAUGUUAUACCUAUUGCAUUCCUUUAUUCAGUUAUUUCACCCCAACUAUAUUACAUACUCGUACAUUCAAAUGUAUCAUCAAUAGGCGCUUCGUUGAGAUCAUUUGACACUCCAGUCAGCUUUGGUGAGCCUUCUUACUUUCUGGAGGAUUUCACAAUUUACUUUCAUGUCACUACAGAGUUAUCGUGGGUCUUGUACCGACUUCUAUGCUAGUAUUAGAGGCUUCAUAAAUAGUUAGAGUUGAAGAGUUUCCAAGUACUUUCUUUCCUUUAAUGAAUGUUUUUGCAAAUUAUUUAUUUUUAUUCCAAGUGAGUAUUUUCAGACAUUAUUAUUGAGUUUAAGUUGAGAUGAAUUUAUGUUUUAAAGUUUCUUUAUGCUUGAGUAAGUCUUCCACUAAAUAGUCAGCCAGAUCAAGGGUUCGCUUGUGGAUCAGAAAUGGUUCUCGAGUGCCGGUCACGUCCAGGGUGUAGGCUCGGGGCGUGAUAAUUUCUUAGUGAAUAUAAGUUUAAAACAGGUUAUAAAGACGUUAUUGAAAUGAUUGAAAUUUUUUUCCUAUUCCCUCUAUUUACUCAGUUGGUGUUAUAUUGUUAAAUCCAUACAUGAAAUUUGCUAUUAUAUCUAUAUAUAUAUAUAUAUAUAUAUAUAUAUAUAUAUAUUUCUUUAAAAAUUUGUAAAGAUGAAGAAUCUUCUAUGUUUAAGGCACUGAGUGAUGCAAAUUAACACAUUCAAAUAUUAUAAAAUUAUUAUGUUACGUUACUUGACAAUGUUGUACCGAUUCAUACUGCUUUCUUUAUCUCGUUCUUGUGACAAAAUAUCAUCUUCUAUAAUAUAGGCACUAGGUGUGCCUGUUCAUGUUGUAACUAAUUUAUCUGUUUGAUCCAGAAUAUAACAAAAAGAAACGUAAAACAUGAUGAGAUUAUAUUAUUAUUUCAAAAGAUGUCCAAUCAAAAUCAAGUUAGCACGAUGGAUUGAUGAAAGAAUGAUCAAAGAUAAUAUUUUGUACUUUCAACAAUGGUUAGAGAUGUACUAAAUAUUCCAAUGUCAAGCGUUGCAUUAGAGAGCACAUUUACCCAAGGAAGACAAUAUAUCAGAGAUAAUGGAUACUCAAUUAGAAAAAAUAUCAUAAAUAUUCAAGUUUACCACAAAAAUUGAAUUAGAACAGAGCGAAGAAAUAAAAAAAGAUCAUAAUAUUUGAAGAAGAAGGAGGAGGAGAACUUGAAAUAACGUAAGUUGGAGAGGAUUCGGCACAAGCAAGUCCAAUGUAUGUAUUUGUUGAAUUUGAAAAUUAUGAGUCAAUUUUUGUUAAAGUAUACACCGAAAUUGAAGAAAAUGAUUCAAAAUAUCUAGAUUUUGUAAUUUAUCUAUUGAAUUUUCAUUUUCUAAUUUACGUUAAUGAAAUUAGAGAAAAAUAAUUGUAACUUUGUAAGUUUCAAAUUUUAAACUUCAUUUUGCAAUCAAUCUAUUAAUUAAGUUAAAGGUUCUUCGAGUCUUUGCAUUUUUUCCCCAUAAAAUUCUUAUAUGUUGUUGAGUUGAAUAAUUUUUAAUGUAUGGUUAGAAAACAUUACAUAAUCAUAUAUUGAAACUCAAAUUUAAAAACAAUGCAAUAAGUCAAUACUUGAAAAACGGUGUUAGGAAAUAUUACAUAAAUAAGUAUUGACAUAUAAAAAAUUAAGUUUAUUUGUAAAUUCCGUAAGUUUUAAGUUGUAUAUAUUGUAAGUUAUAAAUUGUAUAUCAUGAAUAUAUUGCAUGUAUAUUGGUGAAUAUAUUGUAUAUAUGUUUGUAUAUUUGCGUAUAUAGUCUUGUAUAUAUUAUCUAUAGUAUAUUUUGUGAAUAUAUUGUAUGUAUAUUGUGCAUAAAUUUAUAUUUUUUGUAUAUCUUGAUUCAAAUUUCAAAUUGAUAAAUGAUAACACUAUACUAUAUUUUUCUUAAAAAUAUUUUCAUUCAUUUAAUUCCAUAGAAGUUGAAUGUUGAAAAUUGAAACUUCAAAGUUAGACAUAAAGUAAUAGGAAAAAACUAAGUAGAAAAUAUAUAGACCGAUAGAGAGAUGAUUAUGUGGAAAAUAACUUUUAACUUUUAAAUUUUAAAUCACAACAGUUACAAUUAUUUCAAAAUUAAAUUGAUAACACUACACUAUAUGAUUAGAACUCAACUUUCAAAUUUCAAAUUGAUAACACUACUACACUAUAAAUUUCUUAAAUACUUUAAUUUAUUUAAUUUCAUGAAAGAUGAAAGAAGAAAAAUGAAACUUGAAAUUGGAAAUAAAAUAAUAGGCAAAAACUAAGUAGAAAAUAUAUAUAGCUAGAGAGAGGAUUAUGCGAAAAAUGAAAUUUGAACUUUCAAACUUAAAUAACAAGCCAUUGAAAUUAUUUAAAAAUUAAAUUGAUAAUAUUGCAUUACAUGAUUAGAACUCAUCUUUCAAAUUUAAUUCAAGUUGUUGAAGUUAAUUUUGAAAAUAAUAAUAAUUAUCAGACCACAGAAAUGGCCCAUGAACCUGGCCCAUCAAAGUUUGUGACCCAAAGUGCGAUCAGGACCACAUAACUCGACUCCUAGAAAAAUUUGUAAAGAUGAAGAAUCUUCUAUGUUUAAGGCACUGAGUGAUGCAAAUUAACACAUUCAAAUAUUAUAAAAUUAUUAUGUUACGUUACUUGACAAUGUUGUACCGAUUCAUACUGCUUUCUUUAUCUCGUUCUUGUGACAAAAUAUCAUCUUCUAUAAUAUAGGCACUAGGUGUGCCUGUUCAUGUUGUAACUAAUUUAUCUGUUUGAUCCAGAAUAUAACAAAAAGAAACGUAAAACAUGAUGAGAUUAUAUUAUUAUUUCAAAAGAUGUCCAAUCAAAAUCAAGUUAGCACGAUGGAUUGAUGAAAGAAUGAUCAAAGAUAAUAUUUUGUACUUUCAACAAUGGUUAGAGAUGUACUAAAUAUUCCAAUGUCAAGCGUUGCAUUAGAGAGCACAUUUACCCAAGGAAGACAAUAUAUCAGAGAUAAUGGAUACUCAAUUAGAAAAAAUAUCAUAAAUAUUCAAGUUUACCACAAAAAUUGAAUUAGAACAGAGCGAAGAAAUAAAAAAAGAUCAUAAUAUUUGAAGAAGAAGGAGGAGGAGAACUUGAAAUAACGUAAGUUGGAGAGGAUUCGGCACAAGCAAGUCCAAUGUAUGUAUUUGUUGAAUUUGAAAAUUAUGAGUCAAUUUUUGUUAAAGUAUACACCGAAAUUGAAGAAAAUGAUUCAAAAUAUCUAGAUUUUGUAAUUUAUCUAUUGAAUUUUCAUUUUCUAAUUUACGUUAAUGAAAUUAGAGAAAAAUAAUUGUAACUUUGUAAGUUUCAAAUUUUAAACUUCAUUUUGCAAUCAAUCUAUUAAUUAAGUUAAAGGUUCUUCGAGUCUUUGCAUUUUUUCCCCAUAAAAUUCUUAUAUGUUGUUGAGUUGAAUAAUUUUUAAUGUAUGGUUAGAAAACAUUACAUAAUCAUAUAUUGAAACUCAAAUUUAAAAACAAUGCAAUAAGUCAAUACUUGAAAAACGGUGUUAGGAAAUAUUACAUAAAUAAGUAUUGACAUAUAAAAAAUUAAGUUUAUUUGUAAAUUCCGUAAGUUUUAAGUUGUAUAUAUUGUAAGUUAUAAAUUGUAUAUCAUGAAUAUAUUGCAUGUAUAUUGGUGAAUAUAUUGUAUAUAUGUUUGUAUAUUUGCGUAUAUAGUCUUGUAUAUAUUAUCUAUAGUAUAUUUUGUGAAUAUAUUGUAUGUAUAUUGUGCAUAAAUUUAUAUUUUUUGUAUAUCUUGAUUCAAAUUUCAAAUUGAUAAAUGAUAACACUAUACUAUAUUUUUCUUAAAAAUAUUUUCAUUCAUUUAAUUCCAUAGAAGUUGAAUGUUGAAAAUUGAAACUUCAAAGUUAGACAUAAAGUAAUAGGAAAAAACUAAGUAGAAAAUAUAUAGACCGAUAGAGAGAUGAUUAUGUGGAAAAUAACUUUUAACUUUUAAAUUUUAAAUCACAACAGUUACAAUUAUUUCAAAAUUAAAUUGAUAACACUACACUAUAUGAUUAGAACUCAACUUUCAAAUUUCAAAUUGAUAACACUACUACACUAUAAAUUUCUUAAAUACUUUAAUUUAUUUAAUUUCAUGAAAGAUGAAAGAAGAAAAAUGAAACUUGAAAUUGGAAAUAAAAUAAUAGGCAAAAACUAAGUAGAAAAUAUAUAUAGCUAGAGAGAGGAUUAUGCGAAAAAUGAAAUUUGAACUUUCAAACUUAAAUAACAAGCCAUUGAAAUUAUUUAAAAAUUAAAUUGAUAAUAUUGCAUUACAUGAUUAGAACUCAUCUUUCAAAUUUAAUUCAAGUUGUUGAAGUUAAUUUUGAAAAUAAUAAUAAUUAUCAGACCACAGAAAUGGCCCAUGAACCUGGCCCAUCAAAGUUUGUGACCCAAAGUGCGAUCAGGACCACAUAACUCGACUCCUAGAGUUAGGUGGGUCAUGGGCUAUCCGAACAACAUCUCUAGUACUCCAAACUCGGCCCAUGACCAGAUCAACUUAGAACCAAUAUCUGAUUGCAAAAUAGCCAAUGGAUCGUGUCACAAUUCGAGACUACUCCCUAGUCACAACACGGUGUUAAGAGCCACAAGUGACCCUAAGCUAACCUCAUAGCAUGGCAUGACACUAUUAUUUUCAUAAUAAGAUGGAAAUUAAUACUAAAUUUGGAAGUAAAGUCUGAAAGUAAUUUAUUAAAUCAAAUAGACAAUGUUUGAAUAUCAUAAGUUGAGUCUGAACUAACAGUGAAUGCCUCUACUAUAAUGAUUGCUAGGACUACCCCCUAGCUUACUAGUAACUGAAACUGAAAGUAAAUGACUGAAAGAAACGUAGAGUCUGUCCUCGAAAAGAUGAUGACUCACCAAAUGCUAAUGUUAGUUGAUCAUAGAUGGUACUAACCACGAGUUAAAUACUGAGCGUCGAAGCCUAUAUUAUCAAAUAAUAUAUGCAGAAAAUAUAUUUUCAGUAUUUUGAAUGUACUGAAUAUGAGGAAUAUGUAUAAGAAAUAAGAUAUAUGAACAUACUGAAUUUGUAAAAUAUGCUAAUAUAAUGACCAAGUAAAUAACAUGACAACUAAAUAACCUGAAUUGAAAUAUCUGAAUGCUUGAUCAUGCAAUGCUAAAAAGACUGGCUAUGGGAGAUACCAAAACUGACAUAAACCAUGUGAUCUAAUACAUGAAGUUUAGUGUACUGCCCCCACACCGAAAAGAGGGUGUCUAUUACUUGUCAAGGUAAGGGGCCUGAGCUAAUCUAAUGUGGAUCCACUAAGCUAAUGUCAAUAAAGAAAAAUCUUAUGGUGGCACGUUCUGGGAUUUAAGGAUUGUUACUAAAGGUUCACAGACGCUGACCGAAAUCUUUCAUCCUUAAAGUCGCUCGAUGCUAAGUAUAACUCCCAUGAAAACAUGCAUAACAAACUUAAAACAGUAAUAAUUUGAUAAUACUGUUAACUGAUAAAUAUUGAGUAGCUCAUAAAUCGUGAUAUUUGAAAAUAAUCUGAAAGAUAUUUUAUCUUAAAGCAUCUAAAUCAUGAUAAUUUGAUAAUCUGAGACAUUCAUCUGAAAUAACAUAAUUCUAAAUCAUAAAAAUACUUGCAUGCUAUGGGUUCAUGAAAAUACCACUAAAAAUAUGAGAUUAUAUUCAAAAUCAUGCAAUUGAAGGCUAAUCAUGAAGAAGAACUGAAAUUCAUCUAGAACCCUUGAAGAUCCUAGAAACCCUAGGUUUGUAGAAAUCACAAUCUUGAGAAAUUGAGGUUUUCUUGGGACUCAAUAGGUAAAGGGUUACCUAUUGAUGAAAUUCCACAUACCUGGACUGAAGAAUCUUAGCUUGAAUUCCUUCAAUAGAGACUUAAAGCUUGGAACCCUAGUUCUUUCUUGGGAGAAGACUUGAGAGAGAAUAAAUUUGAUUUGGGGGUCUUGAGCGCGAGUCUGAAUGAUAAAAAUUCUUUAAUCCCACUUAGAAUAGGUUAAACGACAUAGUAGAGGAAUUGAAAGAGUGAAAAAUCCUCAUUUAAAACCUACCUGAAGUCAUUUAUGAAGGGCAUCUAAGGUCCGUGGUUCCAUCUACGGACUGUAAAACUCUCUUCAUACUAGAACUUAGAGAAAAUUCUUGAGUUUCUAAAGUUUCAGAACUUUGGUUUUACAAAACUAUCUAUGACCCGUGAAAAUUAAAGUUUAUGACCCAUAAACCUUACUCAUCCCGUUCAAUCUGAAAAUCAAGUUUCUGAAGUUGAUCCACGACUCGUAACAGGUUUUACAAGUCGUAAGUCCCACUCGUAAAACUCAAAAUUAUAUUCCAGUUUCUGAUGUCCUCUCUACGAAUCCCUAUCUAUGGCUCGUGGUUCCAUUCACGACCCGUAGAUGGGGUCUGUAAAACCCAAAUUCUACAGACUUCCGUUUUCUAAACUUUUCAAAACCUUAUAUAUACUGAAAGACUUCUGAGGUGUUAUAGGUUGGCUUACCUGGACCGGCCCACUUGACAACCUUGAUAAUUCAACUACCAACUUAACAAUAUGAAAUCCAAAAAUUUGUGCUUAAAUAGUGUUAUCGAAAGGUCCUUCUCCGUAACAUCUUACCUUAGAGUUUCAUCAAGCAGUAGUGAAGUCAGGAUUUUCACUAAGGUAGAGUUUAAAAUAUAAAGAAUUAAAUAUACGAAAAAAACCAAAAAGUUUCAAUAUCUACAAUAUAUGCAUACAACAUAAAUUUACGUAUGUAUAAACAAUGUUAAUUUUCGCUGAAGAGGGUUCAAAUGAACCCCUCGAUUCUACUUGACUCCGCCUUUUUCAUAGAGUGCUCUCUUUUAUAAAUUUAAACUAAAUGAAUAAAUUUCUUAUUUAUUUUUCAGGUCAAACAUUACCCUUAAUUUUCUUAAUUUUAUAUGAGUUAUAUUUGUUUUUUCCUUGUCAUGUUGACAUUAUGCAUGAGAGCUUUAAUGAAAAAAGAAGAAGAAGAAGCUCAAAUAUAUGUGAACAUCUCUCCAUUUUUUUCCUCAUUGACCUCACACCUCUUGAAUUCUACGUAUUCAUUUUUUUUUUAUUUUUUUUUUUCCGAUUCAUACACCCGUCUUCAUUCAAUGCCAUAUACUCAUAAGUCAUACAUGCAUAUGUAUUAUUUCAACCUUUUCUUUUUUGGUAAUUAAUGGCCUAAAAGGGACUUUAAAUAUAUAUAUAUAUAUAUAUAAUUUCCCACAUUCCAGACACAAUAUUAGUUGAUUGGAAAUAAAGUGAACUCUAGAAGCUUACAAUAGUCUAUUCUAGCAAAGGAUAGGUGACAUUUCAAAUCAUUUUUAGUCAACCUUGUAGCUAGCGUAGAAUGUUUACCAUUAGAAAUCAUAUGCUAAAAAAGGGACAUUUUUUGUGGCCAUCAUUAAUAUUAUAUGUGCUUGUCUUUAUUAUGCAACCAUUAAUAGUUAGAAUAUGAAACUGAUGAUUGUUUCUGUGUUAUAAUAAUUAGGUUGUGGGAUCAAUGAUGCAUGUUGACUUCCAAAGAAAUAGCCAAAGACUUGGAUUCAUUAAUACUAUUUGUAGAUUGACAAUAGAUGUGAGCUUGGAGUGAUAGCAAUAAAUUAAGGUCAAAGAUAUUAGUCAAAUAAUUGAAUAAUAGGGAUGAUAUGAGAAAUUCCAUUGAGAAAUCUGUUGGAAAUUAGUUACUUGAUCCCGUCGGUAAGCGUCCGAUUCGAAUCUCCUUUCUAAUUUUUAAAUUUUGUUUAUUAUACUUUGACUUGUAUUUAAAAAAAGAAGAUAAGUAUUGAAAAUAUCCAUAAACUUUAAUAUAAAUUAUUACUUUAGUCCCUUAAUUAUUGACAACCUUAAAAACACUCAUCUACUUGAUUAAGUAGUUUUAAAACACCCCUCUUAUGCCACAUGUCGUCCACUUAUGCAUCUAUGUGAAAUACUCUACUAAUAUAGCAUACACAUAGAUAUAUACAUAAUAAAAAAAUAUUCAAAUAAUUGAAUACUAAAAUUUAAUAAAGAAAAAUAUUUUUUAAUUUUUUUUUCUUACCUCACCCAUCCCCUACUCAGGUAUCCCCAACCCCAACCCCACCCCCUCAUCCCCCANNNNNNNNNNNNNNNNNNNNNNNNNNNNNNNNNNNNNNNNNNNNNNNNNNNNNNNNNNNNNNNNNNNNNNNNNNNNNNNNNNNNNNNNNNNNNNNNNNNNNNNNNNNNNNNNNNNNNNNNNNNNNNNNNNNNNNNNNNNNNNNNNNNNNNNNNNNNNNNNNNNNNNNNNNNNNNNNNNNNNNNNNNNNNNNNNNNNNNNNNNNNNNNNNNNNNNNNNNNNNNNNNNNNNNNNNNNNNNNNNNNNNNNNNNNNNNNNNNNNNNNNNNNNNNNNNNNNNNNNNNNNNNNNNNNNNNNNNNNNNNNNNNNNNNNNNNNNNNNNNNNNNNNNNNNNNNNNNNNNNNNNNNNNNNNNNNNNNNNNNNNNNNNNNNNNNNNNNNNNNNNNNCCCAAUUUUUUUUAAAAGUUUUUUUUCUAAAGAUUUUUAUCCCUCCCCACCCCGUACCCUGACUCCCCUCUCCCCCCUAAAAAAAUUACUUUUAAAAUAAAAUAUAUUUUAUCUUAUCCCAUCCCCCCUACCUCCCUCCCCACUUCCAAAAAAAAAAGAAGUUUAGAAGAACUGUUUUUUGGGGAUGGGUUGGUAGUGAGGUGUAAGGUUGGGAUACUGGGUAGAGGAUAGCGGGGGUAAUAAAAAAAAUUAAAUUUUUAAAAAGAAAAAGAAUUUUUUUUUCUUCUUAAAUUGCUAAGCCGUUAAUUAUUAAAAUAUUUUUUAAUACAUAUAUUUAUAUGUACGCCAGUCAACAAAAAAUUCUACAUAUAUGCUUGGAUUGAUGAUAUGUGGCAUAAAAUGAAUGUUUUCAAAUUCAAUUAAUCAAAUAAAGGAAUGUUUUGGUUAGAUAGGAGUUACAAAAGUCGAGAAAAUUUCAUAAAUUGAACUAAUGGAGUAGGUAUAAAAUAGUCUCUUAACUAUACAUUUAUCAAAUUUAGUCCUUUAACUAUUUAAAAUGUUAUCAAGUUUGGUCCCUUAAUUAUAUACUUAUCAUUUUUAGUCCCUUAACAAUACAACUAUAUACACUUACUAGUUUUGGUCUUUUAAGUAUUCAGAAGUUUAUCAGGUUUGGUCUCUGACUAUUUUUUAUAUAAAUAAUUUAGUUUUAUAUAAAUAGAACUCACGCCUUUGUCAAAUUAAAUCUUUAACUCAUUUUCCAGUUGUUUCUCUUCCCCCGCUAUUUUUUCUUCAAAUUACUCUUAAGAAAAGAACCUUACCUCAACGAUUCAAAAUAAAAUUCUCGGGGAAAGAAGAUAGAAGUCCUAAUUUUAUUCAAUGGAGGAUGAAAUGAAAUAUAUUAUCCUGCUAAUGACUUGAAAAUGCUAAAUUUAUCAUAAAAAGAAAAAUAUUAUUACCUGUUUGGUGUAGAGAGAGAUUUAUUUAUAUUUAAUAGAAAUGAAUUUCUUGCAAUUAGAAUAAAAUUAAAAGUUCUUUACUCACAUAUUUUGAUUCUAAAUUUUGUACUCCAAUGACUUUAUUGAAGGAAAUUUGUUUAAGUUUUUAGAAGUUGAAAUUUAUAAAAUGGUAGAUUUGCAACCGUUUUUUAAGAUUUGUUUUAUUUUGAAAUAGAUAGAUUUUAGUAUUCUGUUCAUUUUAUUUUACAUAGAGAACUUUGAAUAAUAAGAUCAAAUCUUUUAUUUAUUUUAUAUGAAAAAAAUUAAAAUAAUUCAUGUUGAUUAUGAGUUAAUCGCUAAAGAAGGGAACAUUUUAUUUUGAAUUGUCGAGAUUAAAUUCUUUUCAUAAGGGUAAUUUGAAGAAAAAGUAGCGGGAAGAGAGAAGCACUCGAAAAAAUGGGUUAAACAUUUAAUUUCACGAAAACAUGAGUUUCGUUAAAAUAAACAUAAUUUAUUUUGUAUAAAAAAUGGACAAAGACCAAACCUGAUAAAAUUUUGAAUACUUAAAAAAAGAAAUUAAAAGCGGUAAGUGUAUGGUUAAAGAACCAAAUUUGAUAACAUUUGGAAUAGUUAAAUGACUAAAUUCGAUAAAUAUAUAAUUAAUUGACUAUUUUAGACCUACUACAAUAAUUUAGGGACCAUUUAUAACAUUUUUUCUACGAAAGUCUACCCUACUAGGGAUGACAAUGGGGCGGUGCGGGGAGGUUUGAGCUUGACCUGCAAAAUUUUUAAUCCGCCUCGGCCUGCAUAACAACUUUUUCAUUUUCAAUCCGCCCCUCCCCGUCCCGCAUAAACCCGCAUCGCAUAACUUUUUUCAUAUUUUCUUUUUCUAGUUAAGUUUACUAAUAAAAAUCAAAUUCAUAAAAAUAUUUUUUUUUUCAUUAAGUCGUAUUAAUUUAAUAGGAUAAUGACUUUAAAAUUUACUUUUUAGAGGCCAAUUGGGAAACAUGUAAGAAAUUGAAUUAUUUUUUAUUGAACCAUUUUCAUUUACUAUCUUGAAUAUUUUAGUAGCUUUAUAGAAAUUAUCUUAAUAAAUAAUGUUCUAUCACUAUUAUAACAUGUAAAAAAUUAAAAUUAAGUUUGAAUCCACAUAAAAUCACAUAUACCCGCAACCUACAACCCGACCCGCAUUAAUUUUAAAAAAUCCACUUCUACCCGCCCAACACCACAUAGCCUUAAAUCCACCCCACCCCUCCCCACAUCCGCCCCACCCCAUUACCAUCCCUAAUCCCUACAAAUGAAAAGUCUAGAUAUUUAAGAAUAAUUGUACAUAAAAAAAAUCCCUUGAAAUUAUUUACUUAAAAAGGAUGGUCCAUGUUUUAACAAGACAUUUAAUUUUUUUCUAGAUUUCUUUAACAUACUUUUUAUAAAAAUGAUUGAAUCAAAUAUUUUUUUUAAAAAUAAAAAUGAUUGAAGAAAUUUGUGAAAUGAAAGUCCAUCAACUAACAAUCUACCCCUUGAAUAUAACAGGGCAAACAACACAAAUCCCACUAGUUUAGGGACUAAUACCUUUCUUCUUGUAAGUUUUCAAUAUUAUAAUUCCUAUUAUAUUUUGGUCCCCAAAUACAUGUAUAUGGCGUGUUCAGAUACAUGUAUUUCAGAUACAUAUUGUUGUCAUGACCCAGACUGUUGUGAUUGACACCCACACUAACUCUCCGGUGGGAGAACAACUACUACAACCCAAACCAAGCAACUAAACCAAAACUAAGGCAUUUAAAUUACGGAAGCAAGUUAAAUACUAAGGAAAUAAAUAGAGUUCCCAUAAACUUUAACAAAAGUCUAACAAUAAUAAACUAACAAUGCGGAAGAAAUAACCUAGAACCUGAAAGUCAAUGUANNNNNNNNNNNNNNNNNNNNNNNNNNNNNNNNNNNNNNNNNNNNNNNNNNNNNNNNNNNNNNNNNNNNNNNNNNNNNNNNNNNNNNNNNNNNNNNNNNNNNNNNNNNNNNNNNNNNNNNNNNNNNNNNNNNNNNNNNNNNNNNNNNNNNNNNNNNNNNNNNNNNNNNNNNNNNNNNNNNNNNNNNNNNNNNNNNNNNNNNNNNNNNNNNNNNNNNNNNNNNNNNNNNNNNNNNNNNNNNNNNNNNNNNNNNNNNNNNNNNNNNNNNNNNNNNNNNNNNNNNNNNNNNNNNNNNNNNNNNNNNNNNNNNNNNNNNNNNNNNNNNNNNNNNNNNNNNNNNNNNNNNNNNNNNNNNNNNNNNNNNNNNNNNNNNNNNNNNNGACCCCAACCUUGGCUAAGCAAGCUGCCAAGGCAGCUUGCAAAUUGCACUUGGAGGGAAUAGAGGCGCGUCACGCACUUGCUCCCCCAAGGAGCAAACGAAAAUGCAGAAAUUCAGAAAUCUAUUUUUACUUCAUUAAAGGGUCCAACAAGUGAGGGGUAGUUUGGGUACCUUGGGUUAUUGUUUUAAGUGUUUUUAAGUAUAUUUAAACAUUUAAAGUCUAUUUUAAAGUCAUUCUCCUAAAUUCAAAACCCUCCCUCUCUCAAAACNNNNNNNNNNNNNNNNNNNNNNNNNNNNNNNNNNNNNNNNNNNNNNNNNNNNNNNNNNNNNNNNNNNNNNNNNNNNNNNNNNNNNNNNNNNNNNNNNNNNNNNNNNNNNNNNNNNNNNNNNNNNNNNNNNNNNNNNNNNNNNNNNNNNNNNNNNNNNNNNNNNNNNNNNNNNNNNNNNNNNNNNNNNNNNNNNNNNNNNNNNNNNNNNNNNNNNNNNNNNNNNNNNNNNNNNNNNNNNNNNNNNNNNNNNNNNNNNNNNNNNNNNNNNNNNNNNNNNNNNNNNNNNNNNNNNNNNNNNNNNNNNNNNNNNNNNNNNNNNNNNNNNNNNNNNNNNNNNNNNNNNNNNNNNNNNNNNNNNNNNNNNNNNNNNNNNNNNNNNNNNNNNNNNNNNNNNNNNNNNNNNNNNNNNNNNNNNNNNNNNNNNNNNNNNNNNNNNNNNNNNNNNNNNNNNNNNNNNNNNNNNNNNNNNNNNNNNNNNNNNNNNNNNNNNNNNNNNNNNNNNNNNNNNNNNNNNNNNNNNNNNNNNNNNNNNNNNNNNNNNNNNNNNNNNNNNNNNNNNNNNNNNNNNNNNNNNNNNNNNNNNNNNNNNNNNNNNNNNNNNNNNNNNNNNNNNNNNNNNNNNNNNNNNNNNNNNNNNNNNNNNNNNNNNNNNNNNNNNNNNNNNNNNNNNNNNNNNNNNNNNNNNNNNNNNNNNNNNNNNNNNNNNNNNNNNNNNNNNNNNNNNNNNNNNNNNNNNNNNNNNNNNNNNNNNNNNNNNNNNNNNNNNNNNNNNNNNNNNNNNNNNNNNNNNNNNNNNNNNNNNNNNNNNNNNNNNNNNNNNNNNNNNNNNNNNNNNNNNNNNNNNNNNNNNNNNNNNNNNNNNNNNNNNNNNNNNNNNNNNNNNNNNNNNNNNNNNNNNNNNNNNNNNNNNNNNNNNNNNNNNNNNNNNNNNNNNNNNNNNNNNNNNNNNNNNNNNNNNNNNNNNNNNNNNNNNNNNNNNNNNNNNNNNNNNNNNNNNNNNNNNNNNNNNNNNNNNNNNNNNNNNNNNNNNNNNNNNNNNNNNNNNNNNNNNNNNNNNNNNNNNNNNNNNNNNNNNNNNNNNNNNNNNNNNNNNNNNNNNNNNNNNNNNNNNNNNNNNNNNNNNNNNNNNNNNNNNNNNNNNNNNNNNNNNNNNNNNNNNNNNNNNNNNNNNNNNNNNNNNNNNNNNNNNNNNNNNNNNNNNNNNNNNNNNNNNNNNNNNNNNNNNNNNNNNNNNNNNNNNNNNNNNNNNNNNNNNNNNNNNNNNNNNNNNNNNNNNNNNNNNNNNNNNNNNNNNNNNNNNNNNNNNNNNNNNNNNNNNNNNNNNNNNNNNNNNNNNNNNNNNNNNNNNNNNNNNNNNNNNNNNNNNNNNNNNNNNNNNNNNNNNNNNNNNNNNNNNNNNNNNNNNNNNNNNNNNNNNNNNNNNNNNNNNNNNNNNNNNNNNNNNNNNNNNNNNNNNNNNNNNNNNNNNNNNNNNNNNNNNNNNNNNNNNNNNNNNNNNNNNNNNNNNNNNNNNNNNNNNNNNNNNNNNNNNNNNNNNNNNNNNNNNNNNNNNNNNNNNNNNNNNNNNNNNNNNNNNNNNNNNNNNNNNNNNNNNNNNNNNNNNNNNNNNNNNNNNNNNNNNNNNNNNNNNNNNNNNNNNNNNNNNNNNNNNNNNNNNNNNNNNNNNNNNNNNNNNNNNNNNNNNNNNNNNNNNNNNNNNNNNNNNNNNNNNNNNNNNNNNNNNNNNNNNNNNNNNNNNNNNNNNNNNNNNNNNNNNNNNNNNNNNNNNNNNNNNNNNNNNNNNNNNNNNNNNNNNNNNNNNNNNNNNNNNNNNNNNNNNNNNNNNNNNNNNNNNNNNNNNNNNNNNNNNNNNNNNNNNNNNNNNNNNNNNNNNNNNNNNNNNNNNNNNNNNNNNNNNNNNNNNNNNNNNNNNNNNNNNNNNNNNNNNNNNNNNNNNNNNNNNNNNNNNNNNNNNNNNNNNNNNNNNNNNNNNNNNNNNNNNNNNNNNNNNNNNNNNNNNNNNNNNNNNNNNNNNNNNNNNNNNNNNNAAAUGUCCUUUUUGACAUGUUUUUGCAUGGUCUCCAUACUUAGUACUUAAUUGUGCUAACCCCUUUCCCUUUUUGGAUUAAAGUGUAGGGAUUUGGAGAUGAUGACAUGUCAUGGCUUUGAUAGGUUUCUAAGUGUUGAAGAUGAAGACUUGGUGAGUCCUCAUAGAUUCGAGGAUAUUACCCUACAUGUUCCUUUUGAUGUAUUUCUAGUAUUGUGUUUAAGUCCUGUAUGGGCGUAGUCCAAUUGUUGUAUUCAAGUAUUAGAUGGUUUUGAGACAUCAUGUAUAAAGUCUAGAAAGUCUUCCGCUUGCUAUUUUUAAUGAAAUGUCUUCUUUGUAAGGAAAGUUCUUAAAUUCUUAGUGUCUUUUAUGAUCUAUGCGAUGAAUGAAUGCUAAGGCUUGUACGAGACCUCCGAGAGGUCGAAUACACAUGUAACGGCUAGGGGGUGCUCUCGGGUCGUUACAGUACCAAAAUAUCUAAAGUUCAACAAGUCUAAACAAGAAGGGAUGCAACCCCAAUCUAAUGAACUAAUCAACUAACUAGAACAUAGUCCAAGUACGAAUAUGGUGGACAUAUAUAAAGAGAACCCCAUGGCAGCCCGGAAGAAUUGGCUCUCCCUUGAAUUUGAACGAUCACUGUCUCCUAAGCGAGGUCUGUCAGUAGCCGUUUGAAGAUGUCCUGUACUCAACAAAAAUAAGAGCAAGUGUAGUAUCAGUACACAACCAUAAUGUACUGGUAGGAUCACACAGCUAUCCCACUAAGUGCAACAUACAUAAGUCAUCACAACAAUAUAAUCACAUGCAUACAAUGAACAUAUAAAAUAUCAUCAACAUAUACGAACAAUGAACAACUUCACAUUUCUCAAAAUACACAAUUAUAUCAAAUUAUUGGUCCUCUCAUGGAACCCAAACCCAAAAAGUUAGUAUACCAGAACGUUGUAUCCAAUCCAAUGUUUAUGCUGGAACAUGGCAACCGAUCCCAUAUUUAUGCCGGAACGUGGCAACCGAUCCAAGUUAGUUAUGUCGGAACAUGACUACCGAUCCAAGUUAGUUAUGCCGGAACGUGGCAAUCAAUCCAUUCAACACACCACAAACACAAUCACAAGUAUAUCCUCAAGAUCAUACAAUUAAGUCAUGAUUUCAUGUUAAUCAUCAUCCAUCUAUCUCAUUUACAACAAGUGUGAUCAAUAAUGCAACAUUCAUAUACAUGCAUGUAUCAUAAUGAAGCAAGAACAAACAUACAUCACACAAUCAUAGAAUCACAACCAUCACCUACCUCGAAACAAGCUUAAAACCCUAAGAAACUUGGUCCUUCCCUUUCCGAAUCCGUUCCGCUUGUUCUUGGUCUACAAACAAUCAAUAUAAUAUAGUAAUCAAUAAACAAUCACUAAUUACCCGAAUUACUAACAAUUCUAUGAACCCUAGAUCAAACCCAUGAUCCCAAUUAUCUAAAUUAGGGUUGUUUCCAUCAUAGAAUCUAUAACAAAACCCUCCCCAUCAAUAUUCACUCAUUCUAUUACGUUCUACGGAUCGAAAAACGGAUUCGGGGAGUGAAAAGCUUACCUUUAGCCUCAAGAAUGGUGAAAAAUGAGUAGGAGUCACCUGGGGUUCUUUCCUUAGCUCUAAAGAUCGAAAAGUGCCAAAUAAGGUCAUUUAGGGGUUUAUUAAUGACCUUAAGUCGCGUCGAGCUCGCCACAACGGCCACCACCCCGCUACAACGGCCCUACCAGAGAAACACCAAUCCCGCUAGAGCGGCUUGCACGAAACCAGUGAGCUAUUUAAAGAAUUCCAAAAUCCCCAUUUCACAACACACCUCUAACCACCGACGCUCAGGAAAAUACCCUUUACGCUAAGAUUGAUUUCGGGAGUUCUACUUGCCCGAAUUCAAUUCCGUAAAGUCGUACAGAUUCCUUAACAAGUUAUCUAACCACUCAUGUAAUCAAAAUCAUAAAUAAUUCACCCAAUUGUUACCAUAUUUCCCUACACCUCGAUGACUCCAAUUUCCUUUAAAUCUGGACAAGGUUGGGAAAAUCCAAACACUACAAAAAAGUUUUCCGUCCCCAAAUUUUCCCCCGUUGGCAUUUCUAUAACGACGGGAACAAGUCAUUACAAUAGAUACCAAUUUACCCAUCACUCGUCCCCGAGUGACAAAACUCCAGAAAAAUAGGCUAAGGAAAGAAUGAAGAAGUACCUGAAUCAACGAAAAAUUGGGGAUACUUGUCUCACAUGUCCUUCUCAGUUUCCCAAGUAGCUUCCUCAACUAGACGAUGCUUCNNNNNNNNNNNNNNNNNNNNNNNNNNNNNNNNNNNNNNNNNNNNNNNNNNNNNNNNNNNNNNNNNNNNNNNNNNNNNNNNNNNNNNNNNNNNNNNNNNNNNNNNNNNNNNNNNNNNNNNNNNNNNNNNNNNNNNNNNNNNNNNNNNNNNNNNNNNNNNNNNNNNNNNNNNNNNNNNNNNNNNNNNNNNNNNNNNNNNNNNNNNNNNNNNNNNNNNNNNNNNNNNNNNNNNNNNNNNNNNNNNNNNNNNNNNNNNNNNNNNNNNNNNNAGCUUGAAUACUCCUCACCUUAUCUUGAGCAUCCUUCACUAAAUCUACCCCCAAAAGUUUCACAUCUCCAGCCUCAAACCAUCUUAUGGGUGAUCUACAUCCCCUCCCAUAAAGUGCCUCAAAUGCUGCCAUAUCAAUGCUGGAGUGAUAACUAUUAUUAUAGGAGAACUCACACAAAGGUAUGAAUUUAUCCCAAUGCCCUCCAAAAUCAAGCACACAUGCCCUAAACAUAUCUUCUAAUACUUGAAUAGUCCUCUCCGAUUACCCGUCUGUCUGUGGAUGGAAGUCUGUGCUAAAAGUGAGUUGUGUGCCCAAUUCAUCAUGCAAUUUCCUACAAAACUUGGAUGUGAAUUGGGUACCACGGUCUGAGAUGAUAGAGAGGGGCACCCCAAAUUCGCUUCAAAUCUCGGUACAUCUUGGUCACACCCGGAUGAAUAGAAUAUCGUGAAUCAUGAGACUCUACCAACAAUUUCUGAAUCAAGUCAUCUACUCUAGGAACACAUAUUCUUCCUUUAAAAUUGAGCACACCAUCCGCAUCAAGAGUGGUCUCUUGUGCCUUACCAUUCUCAGUCUUCUUUCUAAGCUCCUUCAAAUUCUUAUCCUCAAAUUGUUUGGCCUUGAUCUCCUCAAUGAAUGUGGCCCUCACUUCAAUACUAGCUAACACCCCACCUCUUUCUGAGAUGCCCAAUUGCAUGAAUUUAGACUCCAAGGUCUGAAUUUAUUUAGCCAAAGGUUGCUUGGACACAUUUAGGCAAGCUAAACUACCCAUACUCCCAGCUUUUCGACUCAAAGAGUCGUCCACCACAUUAGCCUUUCCCGGAUGGUAUUGAAUGGUCACAUCAUAAUCCUUAAGUAACUCCAUCCACCUUCGCUGUCUCAAAUUCAGAUCCUUUUGAGUGAACACAUGCUGCAAACACUUAACACCAUAGAGGUAAUGCCGCCAUAUCUUAAGAGCAAAAACUACAACUGCCAACUCUAAAUCAUGCGUUGGAUAAUUCCUCUCAUGCAUCUUCAAUUGACGCGAGGCAUAAGCUAUACCAUUCUUAUCCUGCAUCAACACAACACCCAACCCAGAAUGAGAAGCAUCACAAUAAACAAAAAAAUCAUUACCUUCAACCGGUAAUGCUAGAAUAGGUGUGGUGGUCAAAUUUUUUUUGAGCUUUUGGAUGUUGUCCUCACCUUUUUCAGUGCAUUCAAAUGGUAUCUCCUCUUUGGUCAAGUUAGUCAAGUGAGUGGCAAUGGAAUCAAUAUUUUUCACAAAUCGACGAUAAUAACUAUCAAGCCCCACAAAACUCCUAACUUCCAUCAUAGAGCUAGGCCUAACCCAAUUCUUAACCCCCUCAAUCUUUUGGGGAUCUACCAUUACCCCUUCUUUUGAAACUACAUACCCCAAAAAUGCAACCGAUUUCAACCAAAAUUCACACUUAGAAAAUUUAGCAUAUAACUUUUGCUUCCCAUGAACACCCAAAAUACUACGAAGAUGGUCGGCAUGCUCUUUCUCACUUUUCGAAUAGACCAAAAUAUCAUCAAUAAACACUAUAACAAACGAAUCAAGGAACGGUUUGAACAUCCCAUUCAUCAAACUCAUGAAAGUUGCAGGCGCAUUGGUCAAACCAAACGACAUAACUAGGAAUUCAGAGUGCCCAUAGCGAGUCCUAAACGCCGUCUUGGGCACAUCCUCAGGCCUAAUUUUUUAAAUUGAUGGUAACCGGAUCUUAGAUCAAUCUUAGAGAAAAUUGAUGCACCUUGCAAUUGGUCAAAAAGAUCAUCUAUUCGAGGCAAGGGGCACUUAUUUUGAAUAAUGAUCCUAUUCAAUUACUGAUAAUCUAUACACAUUCUCAUACUACCAUCCUUUUUCUUAACAAACAAAACUGGAGCACCCCAUGGGGAAGCACUAGGACGAAUAAAUCCCUUAUCAAGAAGCUCUUGGAUUUGAGCCUUAAGCUCUCUUAAUUCUGUCGGAGCCAUGCGAUAUGGAGGGAUAGAAAUGGGAUGUGUACCAGGCUUUAAAUCAAUGCAAAAAUAUAUAUCUCUAUCCGGAGGCAAACCAUGAAAGUCAUUAGGAAACACUUCUCUAAAUUCUGAUACCACAGGAAUAAACUUAAUGUACCAGGCUUUAAAUCAAUGCAAAAAUAUAUAUCUCUAUCCGGAGGCAUACCAUGAAAGUCAUUAGGAAACACUUCUCUAAAUUCUGAUACCACAUGGAUAGACUCAAUGAUGGAGCUUCAAUCUCAACAUCCCUAAUAUGAGCCAGAUAAGCCAAACAACCCUGCACUAUUAAUUUCUUAUCCCGAAUGGAGGAUAUGAUCUUAGUUCGCUUAGGCUUGUACACCCCUUCCCACUUUAAUUUUCUCCUUCCCAGAAUUUCUAGAGUUACGGACUUAGUAUUACAAUUAAGUACGACAUAAUAGGGGAUCAACCAAGUCAUACCUAAGAUUAUGUCAAAGUCAGCCAUAUCCAAAAUCACCAAAUCAGCCCAAGUCUGAAAACCCAUAAACAAAAUAGGACAAGCACAAUAGACAUGGGUAACAAUGACUGACUCUCCAACUAAGGUAGAAACAUGGAUAUGGGCAUCAAGUAUAUCACAAAUCACAUUAAACUCUGAGGUAAAUCACACAGAUACAUAAGAAUAAGUAGAACCCGGAUUAAAUAACACAUUAGCCAUCCGGUCACAAAGAAGAAUAGUACUUGUGAUCACCGUGUCAAACGCCUCUGCCUCAUUCUUGCCCGAAAAGGCAUAACACUGAGCCCUAUCAUCUUGACGAACCACUUCCCUGCCUGGUUGUACAUUACCUCUACCUGCAUUACCAUUUCCUCUACCUCCAUGGCCUCGCUGAUUACCUCUUCGCCCACCUUGUGGAUGUCCUCUACCAUUAUUACCAUUCCCCGUGGGUACCACUGCUCUAGACUGUUGUUGCACAAAAUCUAACACACGUGAGUGGGGACAAUCUCUCCUCAUAUGCCCAGAUUCUCCACAGUUGUAACAAGUACGAUCAAAAGAUGGUCUGCCGCCCGUCGAAGGCGCGAAUCCCUGGCUAUCUUGAAAAUUAUGACAUGGAGUUUUCGAGUAACUACCUGCAGAGGCGGGCAUAGUGGACUGAAUUGGCUUGGCUGCAAGCGUUGGCUUUCCAGACCCCUUGGAAUAAGAACCUUGAAAGUUACCCGAGUUCUUGGCCCUUUUUGCCCAUGCCUUAGCUUGACCGUCUCGCCUCACCCCCUCUACUUUCUUAACAUAGUCGAUUACCUCAUUAAAGCUCCUCCCUGCAGAAGUCAUACGAACAGAUAAUACUUGCAACUCAAAUUUUAGCCCCCUAAUAAAUAACCAGAUUCUCUCUUCCUCAGUAGUCACCAAUUGAGUAGCAUAUCUAGACAAAUCAUGGAACUUGACCUCAAAAGCUACCACAGUCAUACCACCCUGCUCCAAAGCCAUGAACUCAUCCUUCUUGCGAUCCCUCAAAGUCCUAGGCACAUACUUCUCUAGAAACAAAGCGUGAAAUUGGGUCAAAGUAAGUGGAGGUAAAGUAGAAUAUAUGCAUUCCAUAUAAGCUCUCCACCACUCCUUAGCCUCACCUUGAAGUUGAAAGGACACAAACUCAAUCCCAUACUGAUGGACAAUUCCCAACUUAUGAAGCCUCUCAUAGCAAUCUAAGAUGAACUCAUAAGCAUCCUUAUUCUCAGAACCAAGAAACACAGGAGGUUUCUAGCUUCAAAAACUUAGUCAACAUUUCAUGCUCAUUACCAGUCAUACCAGAACCCAACAAAGGAUGGACGAAAGCAUCAUUACCUCCAGUCCCACCUACCUUGGGUGCAGUGCUAGCAACAUGAGGAUUAUUAGGAGCUUGAGUUGCUUGAGCAGAAGGAAGCACUCCAGGACCAACCAACCCUUUUAAGAAUGACAUGAUCUGUCGAGCUAACACUAGGUCUAUGGGGGGAACAUCAGUAGUCUCAGCCUGCACCUCUUCCUCUUGUCCCACAUCCUCGAUAUCAACAUUCUCCUUUUCAAUCACUUCAUGACGUGUAUGAGGGUUCUCAUUCACAGGAGCAUUCUCAACAUGAGCUCUAUUUCCAGCAGGCGCUACUCUUCCGUGGCCUCUACCCCUGCCUCAACCGCGACCUCUCACUGCAGAUUCCUCAGCUGGAGUAUUGACGGGAGCUACGGGCCUAACGCCGUUGAAUCUAGUGUUAACAAUCUGUGGACAGAAGAGUGAAGGAGGUUAGAUACCAAUUUGAAUCGACAGAUACCAAUUGGAAUCAAGUUAUAGCACGAAAGGAGACAAGAGAAAACAUAGAGAUUUCCUAAAUUCCUAUAGCCUCUCGAAGAAAAGUAAAGGCAUCCCCAUACCGUUCCGCGAGACUCUACUAGACUCAUUUUGGUACAUCGAGAUCAACGAACCUAGGCUCUGAUACCAACUUUGUCACGACCCAGACCGUCGUGAUUGGCACCCACACCAACUCUCCGGUGGGAGAACCACUACUACAACCCAAACCAUGCGGAAAUAAAUAGGGUUCCCAUAAACUCUAACAAAAGUCUAACAAUAAUAAACUAACAAUACGGAAGAAAUAACCUAGACCUUGAAAGUCAAUGUACCAAAACAUCUAAAGUUGAACAAGUCUAAACAAGAAGGGAUGCAACCCCAAUUUAAUGAAAUAAUCAACUAACUAGAACAUAGUCUAAGUCUGAAUAUGGUGGACAUAGACAAAGAGGACCCAUGGUAGCCCAAAAGAAUUGGCUCACCCUUGAAUUCGAACGAUCACUGAUCUUCUAAGCGAGGUUUGUCAGUAGCCGCUUGAAGAUGCCUUAUACUGAACAAAAAUAAGAGGAAGUUCAGUAUCAGUACACAACUACAGUGUACUGAUAGGAUCAUGCGGCUAUCCCACUAAGUGCAACAUACAUAAGUCAUCACAAUAAUAUAAUCUCAUGCAUAUAACGAACAUAUACAAUAUCAUCAACAUAUACGAACAAUGAACAACUUCACAUAUCUCAAGAUACACAAUUAUAUAUAAUUAUUGGUCUUCUCACGGAACCCAAACCCAAACAGUUAGCAUACCGGAACGUGGUAUCCUAUCCAAUGUUUAUGCCGGAACGUGGCAAUCGAUCCCAUAUUUAUGCCGAAAUAUGGCAACCGAUCCAAGUUAGUUAUACCGGAAUGUGGCAACUGAUCCAUUCAACACACCACAAACACAAUCACAAGUAUAUUCUCAAGAUCAUACAAUUAAGUCAUGAUUUCAUGUUAAUCAUUAUUCAUCUAUCUCAUUUACAAUUAGGGUGAUCAAUAAUGAAACAUUCAUAUACAUGCAUGUAUCAUAAUGAAGCAAGAACAAACAUACAUCACACAAUCAUAGAAUCACAACCAUCACCUACCUAGAAACAAGCUUGAAACCCUAAGAAACUUGAUUCUUCCCUUUCCGGAUUCGUUCCGCUUGUUCUUGGUCUACAAACAAUCAAUAUAAUACGGAAUCCAUAAACAAUCACUAAUUACCCGAAUUACUAACAAUUCUAUGAACCUUAGAUCAAACUCAUGAUCCCAAUUAUCCAAAUUAGGGUUGUUUCCACCAUAGAUCUAUAACAAAACCCUCCCCAAUCAAUAUUCACCCAUUCUAGUACGUUCUACGGAUCGAACAAUGGAUCUGGGGAGUGAAAAGCUUACAUUUAGCCUCAAGAAUGGUGAAAAACGAGUAGGAGUCACCUGAGGUUCGUUCCGUAGCUCUAAAAAUAAAAAAGUGCCAAAUAAGGUCAUUGAGGGGUUUAUUAACGACCUUAAGUCGCGUCGAGCCCGCCACAUCAGCCACCACCCAGCUACAUCGACCCCGCCAGAGCGACACCAAUCCUGCUAAAGUGGCUUGCAUGAAACCAGUGAGCUAUUUAAAGAAUUCCAAAAUCCCCAUUUCACAACACACCUCUAACCAACGAUACUAAAAAAAAUACCCUUUACUCUAAGAUCGAUUCUGGGAGUUCUACUCUCCCGAAUUCAAUUAUGUAAAGUCAUACAAAUUCCUUAACGAGUUAGCUAACCACUCAUGUAAUAAAAAUCAUAAAUAGUUCACCCGAUCAUUACCAUAUUUCCAUAGACCUCGAUGACUCCGAUUUCGUCCAAAUCUAGACAAGGUUGAGAAAAUCCAAAUACUACAAAAAGGUUUUCCGUCCCCAAAUUUUCCCCUGUUGGCAUUUCUACAACCACGUGAACAUGUCGUUACAAUUGUAAUCCCCCAAAAUUUCUAAGCUAAGAUGCGAACUAUUCUUCGUAUGCAUAUAGGUCCGGAUUAGAUGAUUUCCUUAUUGGGCAUAAUUAUUAAGGUCAAUUCUUUAGUGUGGGAAUAUCUUUGAAGAUGUAUUAAGGUUAGACUCUAGAACAAAGUUGUUUUAAAAUCUUCAAAUGAACAUAUCUCUUAGAAUAUGAAGAGUUAUGUGUCUCUGUACCAACAAAAUUAAAGAUCUUGGAGUCUUUUUUUCAACAACGCCAACCUCUAAUCGAUCCGAGAUUGGAGUAAAAAAUUAUGACCAUUUUAAUUUUGACUGACAAUCUGGAAAGUAGCUGCAAACCACAUACAUGCAACAAGUCCACACCUGAAAAAUAAAUAUGGAGGAAUAAUUAAGAAACAUUUUCAUAUCAUUUGACAUGCGAACCACCUAUGUGCAGUAAGUCCCCAUUUGUGGGACACAUAAUGGGGACACAGGUGGGCCGAAGAAGAACUUUUUAAGUCGGUUUAAUUUGAUUUUCUUCACUUUUUGGUCAUUCUUCAAGACCUAGAUCUAGUUUGCUCUCCUACUCUCCUCCUGUAUCUCUAAGGUAAGCCUCUCCCAUGAACUUUUAUGAAAUUCCAAGUAUUUUCUAUCAUUCUUUUUAAGAUUAUUAAUGAAAUUCUACACCAUAAUUAUAGGAUUUUAAUGAAACAAAUCAAAGAAUUUCAAGAAAAUAAUUCUCGGUCUUUCUUCAUUAAGUUAGGAUUCUUUGUCAAGAUUUGAGGAGAGUUUAAGGUGUGCAAGUCUAUUAUAGUGGUAAAUCUUGUUCUUCCGCAUGUCCUACAUCUACCAUUUUAGCUAGUAAGUUUUGAAAUUUUACCCCCAAAAUCUAUGAUUUUGAAUUCUUUCUAUUUUCAGUUGUUGAUUCUUGACCCUAUUAUUGAAAGUAAUGUUAUUCACAUUAUUGAUGAUCUUUGAUUUGUAUUUAUGCUUAUUGUGCCUCAUGAAUCCUUCCUAAUUAAUUUUUUGGCAUAAUACAUAAACAAGACCCUUAACUUGCCUUCAGCGGACAACUAUGCCCUCCAAUUAUUAGUGUGCACAAGUAGGCACAAAUUGAACGAGUAAACGUACGUGUCCUACAUGAUAUAAUACAUGUAGGAUGCCAUGUAGGAUACAAAAUUGCCAUGUAGGACAAAUGUGUCCAUUUGUUCAAUUUUAUACAAGUUGGCACACCCCUUAAAGGUCAUAGUUGCUUGUUGACGUCAAGUUAAGGGUCAUGUUUAUGUAUUACGCCAAAAUUUCUUGAGAACCUUGUCAUAGUACUUCAUAUGCAUUGUUUCCAUGAGUAAAGUAUAUUACUAGUUUAAAGAAGUAUUUUAAGAAAGAGUUUGAAAAAAGUAUAUUUAGUUUCAAGUGUAUUGUUUCUGAAAGAGUUUCAAGAUAUUAUAUUUUGUCUCAAAAACUAUAGUCAGUUUUUAAAGAAAUCACAUCUCAAAUUUGAGAAAGCAUAGUCAGAGCAUAGUCAGUUUUAAAGAAAAUUUAUUUUUGUUUUAAAGAACUAUUUGAGCAAGGACUCAAAGAAAAGAGAGUAUCAAUUUUCAUUUAAAGUGGAUCACUUUUUUCUAAAGUAGGAUAACUUUAAAGUUAUUGAGCAUCAAUGCAUGUUUCGAGAGUAGUAUUGAGCACCCAAUUGGGUAAGAGUUUAGAUUAUCCAAACCACAGAACUACACCACCAACAUAUGAUAAGAUCAUACCAGUGAUUUGUGUGACUCCUCAUAAAGCCCCUAGUUAGGGCUCAUAUAUUUGAUCCAUUAGUUGAGUUCGUCCUUUACCAUGAUAUGGUAUAUGAUGGCUUUGACAAUGUGGACAAGAUAUUGUAUCAUUAUGAGGCUUACGUGAUAGUUAUCUGUUAGAGAAAUUCCCCAAGAAAGGUAAAGUUAUAUUAUUUUCAAUAUUUGUUUUUUAUGCAUAUUUUUUCAGUGAUAAUUUUUUGUUGUUAAAAUACUCAUGCAUUACCAUUCAGUUGACUUUAUUUCAGUCUUUCUUCAGAGUUAUUCAUUCAACUAGUAUAUUCGGUUUUGUCUUGUUGUUUCAUGUAGUUAUUUUACAUAUUGUAAAUUCCAUGUACUAACAUCAUUGAUACUCGUUUUUAAAUGAUGUUGAUUUAGGUGUUUAGGAUCAACAACAGACACAUCAUUAGGACAAUCUUCAUCCAACAUUAGUGAGACCUUAUUACUUUUCUGAGGGCUCUAGUUUAUCUUAUGUAUUUGUAGUUAGUAUAUGAUGUUAGUAAAGUAAUCAGGUAGCCUGGGGUCUUGUCCCGAUGACCUACGUUUAGUAUAUUAGAGUCUUCAUAGACGAGUCAAUUUAGUCAUAGAUUUAGUUGUUUUACAAACAUAUGCAUAUUAUAUAAAAUUUAUAUUUUCAACUAUAAAGUUAUUGAGUCUAUUUUUUCAAGUUAUUGAUGCCCAUCUUUUAAUUUUUUUCGCAUUAGUCAGUAUACAGUCUUAUAGUUUUGUAGACCAAGGGUUCGUCGGGCCAACAAUGAUUUUGAGUGUCGGCCACGUCCAGGGAGUAGACUCAAAUUGUGACACAAGCCAAGCACGAAUACAUGCUAAGUAGAUACAUCUAAUUAUGUUGAUCUUAAUAGAGAAUGUAACUUAAAAGCAUCAAUUUCGGAGAAAAUCACACGUUCUUCUGUGAAUUUCUUCUCCUAUUCUUUUCUUAAUUUCUUCCCAUUUUUUUCAGCAUUAUAAAUCUUUUUCCAUAGAUAUAUAUAAUCUUAACUCAAAUAUAUGUACACUUUAUCAGAUACAUGUACUCUUGAUUAGAUACAUGUGCAUAUUUUCAUUUUUUUUUUUACCACCAUCUCUCCUCCUCUUUGUCUAGAGACUAGCGACAUCUCGCUACUUAUCUCCUCACCACCAUGAGACACCGUUUCUGACAAAAACUCCACCAAUCUAGCGGAAAACCCCAAAAGCAGAAGGUUUAUAUUUUUUAAUAAAUUCAUAGUGGUGUGUUGCAUCUCUAUUAACAAUCAAAGUAGAUUAAAAAAAUAUCUAAAUUGAUGAAAUUUAAUUGAAAAAGAAUGUGUGAGGGAGAAGCAGCAGAGGGAAUUGGGGAAGAGGAUAAUUAGGAGAGAUAGUUGAUUGAUUUGAAGCGAAAGAGAUAUUUAAGUGGGUAAGACUCUAUUUUAGGCUAGUUUUAAAGAGUGAUUUACUCAAUGUAUCUGAAUCCUACUAUGAUAUAUAUUUAUUAAUGUCACGCCUCGAUCCUACACAUUGGGCAUGGUCGGCACUCGAGAACUAUUGAUGAUCCCCAAGCAAACCCUUGGCAUGACUGUCUACUUAGUGGAAGACUGAGUCAAGCAGAUAUUGACUUUAAAUUUGAAUUAAAUCAGUAGGUCAAAGUACUCAAUUAAAUUGUCUGAAGAUAAUGAAUGAAAACAAUAAUAGUUUUAACAAAAUAUCUAAGUAGCAAUGCUAAAAGACUUUCAAUAUUAGAUAAAGCCUCUAUUAUUUUAAGAUGGGCAUCGGGACAAGACCCACGAUAACCUUAAAUAACUACUAAAGUAAACUAAAGACUGGAGUCCUCCAAAAGCUAGUAGACCUAACCAAAAGUUGUCGACGAGUGCAAGUUAUCUCAAUGAAACACGCGUUGAUGAUCCUCAACACAUGUAUCUGCAUCAUAAAUGAUGCAGAUUAAAUGACAUUAGUACAUGAAAUGUUUGAGUAUGUUAUAUGGCUGAAUAAAAUAAUAACUGAACUGAUGCCGAAAAAUAUAUCAAGUAAACAAUAUACGAACAAGUAGUGAAAGCCACUUGUACUUUACAACAAGAUAUGCAAUUAAAACAAUAUGAGAAUAAUUUUUUUUACUUCGUGGGUGUUUCGCUAACCGAUAAUCAUUACUAUGAGUCUAACAAUGAUACAAUGUUUCUCCCACGUUGCAAGGGUCAUCCUAUACCUUGUCGAGAUAGAUGAUGCUACUAUAACUAUAGAUCCAUCUAAUAGGCCUUCUCAGAGGCAGUGAGGAGUCACACGACAAAUUGAUGCGAUCUUAUCCUACACUGACUAUGUAGUUUUAUAGUACUUCGAGUUAAAAUUAGACUCUUACCUAAUUCGAUGCUCGAUACUACUCUCAAAACAAAUCAUAUCAGUUUUGCUCAAUCACCCUUUACAGAGAAAUAAACUAUUUCUUUACUUUACUUUCACUUUUCUUUACUGAAGUUUUGUUCGGAAGAAAACCAAUUAUACUCUUUCUCUUUCUCAUUGUCAAAUAGUACAUAUGAAAUCAUUUGAUUCUCUUUUUAAAAACUCUUUUCAAAACAUGCAUUUAAACGUAUAUUUAUGGACUUACCUAUUAAGUCUGAAUCGAUGUAUAAGCAAUCUCUUUUAAUAGUCUCUAUAAACAUGACUUUAUAGAGUUCUUAUGAUACAAAAUAUUAAUAAUUAUUUAGAAUUCAAAAUAUCCAUAGUAUAAAUCAAAAUCUCAAUGAUUAAGGAACUAAAAUGCAUAACAAGAAACACAACUAAAUUCAGAUUUCAAGAGACUACGGAUAAAACUCUGAACAUAACCUUUUAAUGAAUGAAUUUAGAUGUAGGGCAUGAGGAAGAACUUAGUUCAUCACUAUGAGUAGCCUAACAUACCUGAAAAAACAAAGUUCUUUGUGAAAUAGGUGAAAACUCGAAGAACGCUCGAAACCCUAACUUUCUUCUCUUUGGACCCUUGCUCUAAGACUUGGAAACAUUAAUGAACUUAAAAUAAUUGAUUAAAAUUGUUUAAACCCAUAACUAGGUGUGAAAACGUUGUGAUUUAGGCUUAGAGAGGGUGGGAAAGAUAAACUACCCCUCUUAAAAAGUUAUGAAAACCUUCUACGGGUCCAUCUACGGUUUGUGGUUUGAUCUACGGAUCGUAGAUCUCAUAUGUGGAAUUUCUAUUGAAUUUUGAGGCUCAAAAUUUCAUUUUACUAGUCCAAUCUACCACCCGUUAAGUUUCUAUGGAUCAUAGAUCCAAUCAGUAGAAUUUAUACAAUUUUCAGGCUGAAAAGUCCAUUCGAUGGGUCCAAACUUUGGCCCAUAAAAGUUCCUAUGGCCCGUAGAGUGGAUCCAUAGGAAUUGGACCCUAAGAACUGACUUCUCAAAAGUUUUCUACAAGUUGAAAGUAUGGUUCAUCGAAAUUUCUAUGACUUGUAGAAGCAACUCAUAUGAAUUGACUUCAGAAGACUCUGAUGUGAUAGUCUUUGGUGAAAUGGCCAUAAAUGUUUACUCCAAACCCAAAAUUAGGCAAAAGUAGUAGUGUUGGAAAGAGGACUCAUAAAUCUUCAAUUUGAUAGGUCAUGUGUCACCUAAUUCAUUUUGUGUUGAGAUAUAUGAUUGUUUGAAGUUUACUAAGUAGAAUCUUAUGGCAAAACUUAAUUUGUAAGGAAGCUGUCAACUCAACUUUGUGCUAGGGGGUUCUUGUGACCUUAAUUCAUAUCUAAAUCCAUUUCCAGACUAAAGAAUUAAUCAUUACAAACAUGAGAAAUUUAAGAAUCACACGAUAUGACCAUACAUAUAAAUAAAUAAUGAUUCGGGCCUUAGCUUAGAAAUUUUUAGGGUGUUACAAUAUCUUCCCUUUGGAAUCAUUCGUACUCAAAUGAUGGAUGAACUGAGCAUGGAAAGGGUAGGGAAAUGCUUAAUAACCUAAUUUAAUGCAAAAUACACAUAAACCUCAUGAACUCAAAAACACUGAAGGAGGUAUUGAAUUGAAUGAGUACUUUAGGUAGAGUUAAUAUCUUGGAUUGGAACUAAAUCGGAGGAAAAGAGAUGAGGUUAUCUAGUCUUCAUAUCUUCUUCAGCUUCCCAAAUUGCCUCCCCAACAAACUGAUUUCUCUAUAAGACCUUGAAUGAUGCAACCUCUUUCAUUCUCAACUUGUGAACCUGACGAUCAAGAAUCUGAACGGGAAUCACCUCAUAAGAUAUGUUGUCUUUGAUACCAAUAUUCUCGGUAGGCAUAAUAUGUGAAGGAUCACCCAAACACUUCUUUAGCAUAUAGAUGUGAAAUACUGGAUGAACUGCUGUUAACUCUGGUGGUAGCUCCAACUCAUAAGCUACAUUACCAACUCUCUUGAAUAGCCUGUAAAGACUAAUGUAUCAGGGACUUAGCUUUUCUUUCUUACUACAUCUUAUAACACCCUUUACAGGUGAUACCUUCAGAUAUACCCAAUCAUCAACCUCAAAAUCUAGAUCUCUUCUUCUAAUAUCUGUAUAGGAUUUCUAACGGCUUGCACUGGUCUCAACCUCUAUUGGAUUAUUUUCACCUUCUCCAUGGAUUGAUGAACUAAGUUUGUUCCUGUCAACUCAGCUUCACUAACCUCAAACCACCCAAUAUGUGAUCUACACCUUCACCCAUAAAGAGCCUCAUAAAAAGCCAUCUAAAUACUGGGAUGAUAGUUUUUAUUAUAUGCAAACUCUAUAAGAGGCAAGUGGUCAUCCAAUUACCUUUGAAAUCCAACACAUAUGUUCUCGACAUAUCCUCUAAGGUCUGAAUAGUGUGCUCUGUUUGGCCAUCUAUCUGAGGAUGUAAAGCAGAACUAAGGUGUACCUUAAAACCCAAACCUUUCUAAAGCGACUUCCAAAAGUGAGCGGUGAAUUGUGCACCCCUAUCUGAAAUGAUGGACAACGAAACUCCAUGAAGUCAGACUAUCUCACAGAUAUAUAAACUCGCAUAAUCUUCUGCUAAAUUGGUAGUCAUCAUCGAUAAGAAAUGGGCUGAUUUAGUCAUGCAAUCUACAAUUACCCAAAUCAAAUCAUGUUGCCUACGAGAUUGUGGUAAGCCACUAAUAAAAUCCAUAUUAAUCAUCUCCCACUUCCAUUCUUGAAGAGCUAUGUUCUGAGCUACCCUACAUGGCCUUUGAUGUUUAGCCUUGACUUUCUAGCAAUUUGGGUACUUAGCAACAAAAUUUGCAAUACACAUCUUCAUACUAUUCUACCAAUAGAUUUCUCUCAAGUCAUGGUACAUCUUUGUGGAACCCGAAUGGAUUGAAUAUUUGUAACUAUGAGCUUUUGCCAUAAUCCUCUCUUGAAUCUCAUCCACCUUUGGAAUACACAAUCUACCUUGAUAUCUCAACACACCAUCCCCCCUUAUUCAAAAGUCAUCACCUUAUGUUUAUGAACAUUUUCCUUCAGUUCAAAUAUGAUGGGUCUUUGUCUUGCUUCUCCUUCACUUGUGACACUAAUGAUGAUUCAGCCCCAUUCAUCACAACAACUCCAACUUCAAUGAAAUCUAACAAAGGGACACCCAAACGUGCAAGUAAGUGAACUUCCUUAGCCAAUUCUUUCUUAUCUACAUCGACAUUUGUAGUACUCCCCAUAGAAAACCUUCUCAAUGCAUCAGCAACAACAUUUGCCUUAUCUGGGUGAUAGAGGAUACUUAUUUUGUAAUUCUUAAGAACCUCUAACCACCUCCUUUGUUUGAGAUUAAGCUUCUUCUAACUGAACACAUACAAGAGACUCUUGUGGUUAGUGAGCACAUCCACAUAAAUUCCAUAGAGAUGGUGAUGCCAUAUCUUGAGAGCAAAAACUACUACUUGAACUUGAUAUCAUGAGUCAGGUACUUCCUCUCGUGAAUCUUAAACUGCUUGGAGGCAUAGGAUAUAACCUUACUAUUCUGCAUCAACACAUAACCAAGCCUCACUCUGGAUACACUAUAAUAGAUGACAAAACCCUCUGUACCCUCUGGUAGGUCAACACUAAAGCAGUAGUUAAUCGAGUUUUCAAUUCCUAAAAACUUUUCCCACAAGAUUUAGACCAUUGAAACUUAGUUGUUUUUUAAGUCAACUUACUCAACGGGGAUGAAAUAGAUGAAAACCCCUAGAUGAACCUUCUAUAGUACCCUGCCAACCCCAAGAAAUUCCUUAUAUUAGUUGGGGAUGUGGGUCUAGGACAAUUCUGCACCGCCUCAAUCUUCUGAGUGUCGAUUUGAAUUCCUUCACCAGACACAAUGUGGCCUAAGAACACCAAAGAUUCAAGUCAGAACUUACCCUGAGAAAACUCGACAUAUAACUCUUGAUCUUUGAGAGUUUGUAGAACUAUUCUGAGAUGACUAACAUGAUCCUCCUUAUUCUUCAAGUAGAUCGGGAUGUUGUCGAUAUUAUGUUAACAAACAUAUCCCGAUACGUCUUAAAUACUUUGUUCAUAAGAUUCAUGAAUGCUACAUGAGUGUUAGUCAGACCAAAGGACAUAACAAUGAACUCAUAAUGACUAUAACGGGUACUGAGUGUUGUCUUCGAGAUGUCACUUUUUCUCACAUUUAACUGAUGAUAGCCAUAUCUGAGGUCUAUCUUAGAGAAGCAAGUGGCACCCUGAAAUUGGUCAGAAAGAUCAUCAAUCCUAGGAAGGUGAUACUUGUUCUUUAUGGUCACCUUGCUCAAAUGACUAUAAUCAAUACACAUCCUAAGGGAACUAUCUUUUUUUCGCAUGAAUAAGACCAGAGCGCCUCAAGGUGAGAAACUAGGUAGGAUGAAACCCUUAUCAAUGAGAUCUUUCAAUUGCUAUUUAAAUCUUUUAACUCAAUUGAAGUCAUUCUAUAUGAAGGAAUAAAGAUGAGUUGGGUAUCUAAAUGGAUGUUAAUUUCGAAGUCUAUCUCCUUUUUGGAAGGAACUCUGGGAAUAUCAUCGGAAAAGACUUCUGAAAACUCAUAUACGGUUAGAACUAACUAAAGGGAUGGUGUCUCAACAUAGAAUCAUUAACUUGGACUAUACAUAGAUGCAUCCCUUGGAUACUAACUUUUUGGACUUUAGGUAUGAGAUGAAACCACCCUUAGGAACUACUAAAUUACUUUUCCAUUCUAUGACUGGCUCAUUUGGAAACUAAAACUUGACUACUUGAGUCCUAAAAAUGACUGAGGCAUAACAAACAUAAAGCCAGUCCAUGUCUAGUAUGACAUCAAAAUGCAUCAUAUCUAAUUCAAUUAUAUCAACCAUGGUGUCUUUAUGAUAGAUAGAGAUGGUACAAUUUUGAUAGAAUCUUUCUACUAGAAUAGACUCCCCGACAUAUGUAAAAACACUGAAAGGUGCAAUAAGUUGUUGGGGACAACUGCCAAACUCCAUGGCUAUAUAGGGAGUUACAAAAGAUAAACUUGCACAUGGAUCAAUUAAGUCAUAUACAUCAAGAGAAAGGACUUUAAGCGUACCAGUAACCAUAUCUGGCGAGUUCUCCUGAUCUUGACGACUGGACAUAACAUACAUAUAGUUUGAACCUCUGUCUUCUCCUGAAGUACCAUCCAUUGGUGCAGUCUUACCCGGUGGGGUGCCGAAGAAGUUUAGCCCCUGCUACCCCCAUUACCCUGGUUCCACGUUGGGCAAUACCUAGAAAAGUGACCCUCCCUUCCAUACUUGUAACAACCAUCAGUACCAAGACAUUCCCCGAAUGAAGCUUACCCCACUUACCAUAGAGUGGGCUGCGAGUGAACUCUUGUGCCACACUGCCUUGUGACUGAGAACCCUAAGCUCUAAAAUUUUGGAUGUUACUGUUCCUGUGAUCAUUCAUGUUCCUUGGUUCAGGCACACUAGUUGACGAUAGAGCAGGUCCAGAUGACCUUUUCUAGAAGGAUAUACGAUUUCCAUUCCCGAUCUUCUGUUGGUCGGACUCAUAAUUUAUUGUCUUAGCCCUCUUACUGUGGAACUCUUCCCUAUUUUUCAACUUGUCCUCCUCCACCUUUUGUACAUAAAUCAUAAGCCUAGCUAUGUCCAUAUCCCCUAUAAACAGAACUGUCUUCCCCUCCUUAUUAGAUAAACGGGAUAGCCUAGACACACAAAAUUCAUUCUACUACUCAUAUUAUCCACCAUCUCUGGAGCAUAGAGGGAUAAUUGAGUGAACUUGAGGCUGAACUCUUGCACAUUCAUAGAUUCCUGCUUUAGAUUAAGAAACUCUCUUACCUUUGCUUCCCUUAGUUCUUAGGGAAAAAAGUGCCCUAAGAAAGCAUUCUCAAACACAGUCCAACCUAAGGGUGGUGCACCUUCUCGUCUAGUCUUUUUCCACUAGGUGUACCAUAUCCUGGCAAUACCUUUGAGCUGGUAUGUAUCCAACUCCACACGUCAACAUCAACAAUAUGCAUGACCUUAAAUACCUUCUGAAGUUAGUCCAUAAAAUUUUCUAGAUCCUCAUAGAGCUUUGACCUUGUAAACUCCAAGGGAUUCAUUCUUAGAAACUCUCGGACUCUAGACAGACUAUUCAUAUCCUGACGACUGGCUCUUUGGCGACAAAGAUGUUUUGUCACCACUUGAGUCAACAUCUGAAUAACAUUCCUAAACUCAGCAUUAGUGACAUCUCUCUGAGGGGGUUGCACCCCUGGUACAUUGGGAGCUUCUUGACCUUGAGAAUUUGCAUUCCUCCAAGGUGGACGUCCUCGAACAGCUCUUCAUGGAGGCAUGAUCUGAAAAAACACGCGUAAGCACGAGUUGAAAGAAACUUUUAUAGAGUUGAAAUCUAUCGCACGAAGAAGAGUAAGAAGAAAGUGAAAAGUUCCUUAAUGUUGUAGCUUCCUCAUUAUAGAUGUGGCGAGCUUCAUAUCGAUGAGAAAGACUCUACUAGACACAACUUCAUAAACACCCUAGGACUCUUGAACUCUGUGCUCUGUAACCAAGGUUGUCACACCCCGAGCCUACACUCUGGACAUGGCCGGUACUCGAGAAUCAUUACUGGUCCCCAAGAGACUGACUACUUAGCAAAAUAAUGACUCAAGAAGACAUAGACUGUAAAACUGAAUUAAAUCAUUGAACCAAAGUAUUCAAUUAAAUUGUCUGAAAAUACUGAAUGAAAGCAGUAAUAGUUUUAACAAAAAACUAAAUAGUAAUACUGAAAGACUCCCAAUACUAUCUAUCUAUGAAGCCUUUAUUGUUUAAAGAUAGGCAUCGGGACAAGACCCACGAAAACCUUAAACAACUUCUGAAAGUAAACUAAAAAGUAGAGUCCUCUGAAAGAUAGGAGGCUUCACCAAAAGUUGUCUACGAGUGCAAGUGAUCUCAAUGAAAUGCUUGUUAGUGAUCCUGAAUACUUGUAUCUUCAUCAUAAAAAUGUAGGUUGAAUAACAUUAGUACAUGGAAUGUACUAGUAUGUUAUAUGGCUGAAUAGAAAAAUAAUUGAAUUGAUGGGAAAAAACAUAUCAAGUAAACAAUAUAUGAACAAGUAGUGAAAACUAUUUGUACUUUAUAACAAGAUAUGCAAUAAAAACAAUAUGAGAAUAUAAAACUUUGCUCUAUUGGAAGUUUCUCUAACCUACAAAGAUUACUAUGAGUCUAGCAAUGAUACAAUGUUUCACCCAUGUUGUAAGGGUCAUCCUAUACCUUGCCCGGGUAUAGGAUGCUACUGUAACUAUGGAUCCAUCUAAUAGACCUUCACAAAGGCAGUGAGGAGUCACACGAUAAUCAGUGCAAUCUUAUCUUACGCUGGCUACAUAGUUUUAUGAGACUUCGAGUUAAAAAUAGACUCUUACCCAAUUCGGUGCUCGAUACUACUCUCAAACCAAAUCAUAUAAAUUUGGCUCAAUCACCCUUUAUAGUGAAAUGGACAAUUUCUUUACUUUACUUUCACUUUGUUUUACUGAAGUACUAUUCGGAAGAAAAUCAAUUAUACUCUUUCCCUUUCUUACUGUCAAAAAGUACAUAUGAAAUCAGUUGAUUCUUUCUUUGGAAGCUCUUUUCAAAACAUGUAUUUAAACGUAUAUUUAUGGACUUGCCUAUCAAGUUCGGAAUCGAUGUAUAAAGAAUUUCAUAUAAUAAUAUCUAAAAAUAUGACUUUAUAAACAAAUAAUGUUUAUGUGAUACAAAACAUGAACAACAAUUUAGAAUUCAAUAUGCAUAAUUGAAAUCAAAAUCUGAACAUAACAUUUUGAUGAAUGAAUUUAGAUGUAGGGCGCAAGGACAGACUUAUUUCAUCACUAUGAGUAGCCUUACAUACCUAGAAGAACAAAGUUCUUGGCGAUAUUGGUGAAAACUUGAAAAUGCUUGAAACCCUAGUUUUCUCCUCCUGGAUCCUUGAUUUAAGACUUGAAAGCUUUAAUGAAAGUAAAAGGAUUGAUUAACACUGUUUUAACCCUUAACUAGGUGUAAAAAAGUCAUGGUUUAGGCUUAGAAGGGGUAGAAAAAGACUAAACUACCCCUCUUAAAAACUGACGAAAACCUUUUACGGGUCCAUCUAUGGUUCACAAUUUGAUCUAUAGACCGUAGAUCCCAUGCAUGGAAUUUAUAUUGAAUUUUAUGGUUCAAAAUUUCAUUAUGUGGGUCCAAUCUACGAACCGUAAAAGUUUCUACGUACCGUAGAUCAAAUCAGUAGAAUUUAUAUAAUUUUCAGGUUCCAAAGUCCAUUUUACGGGUCCAAACUACGACCCGUAGAAUGGAUCUGUAGGAAUAGGACCCCAAAAUUUGACUUCUCUAAAUUUUUCUACGAGUUGAAAGUUCGGGUCGUCAAAAUUUCUGCGACCCGUAGAAACAACUUGUAGGAAUUGACUUCAAGAAACUCUGGCGUGACAGUCUUUGGUAAAACGACUAUUAACUUUUUAUUUCAAAAUUAAAAUGAGGAAAACUUGGUGGAGUUGGAAAGAGAACUCAUAGAUCUUUAAUUUGAUAGGUCAUUUGUCACCUAGUUCAUUUAUUGCUGAGAGAUAUUAUCGUUUGAAGUUGAUCUAAGUAGAAUCUUAUGUCAAAAUUUAAUUGGUAAGAAAGCUUUCAAUUCAAAUUUGUGCUAGGAGGUUCUUGUAAUCUUAAUUCAUAUCAAAAUUUAUUCUCACACUAAAGAAUUGACCUUUACAAAUAUGAGAAAUUUAAGAAUCACCCAAUACAAUCUUAAAUGUAAAUAAAGAAUGGUUUAGGCCUUAUUCAGGGUGUUACAAUUAAAUAGCAAGAUAAUAAGUAAAUAUUUAAAAGUAUAUUUUAAAUUAAUAAAUAUAAUAUGAAUAAAUAUCUAAUUAUAUAAUUUUUACAAUAUAAUAACUAAAAUUUGAAUGUUAUUCAUUUGACAAUUUUAUCUAAAGAUUACCUUAUAGAAGAGUUGUAAUUUAUUCAUCAGCUACAUUUUGGUCUUCUACUUCAUCGCUUUGUUUUAAAUUAGGAAAGACUCUAGUGAAAUAUGUAAAUUCUAGGUCAUGCUAAAAUUAUUUUUAAAAAUUUGAUGAUAAUUAUUUCAUCAUUUUAUAUUAGCUGUUUAUCUUACUAAAAAUAGUUAUUCCAAGGUAAUAUACAAAAUCAUGAUAAAAUUAAUUUCAUUUUUCUCAUUUUAUUCUUAUGAUUAAUUAUUUUUAAAUGUAUAAAUAAGUUUAUAAGUUUCGAGAAAGUUAAUUUAUUAAGGGGUAGAUUAGUAAAACUAUCCUGUUAUUUAUGAUUUUUUUUAAAAAUCAUAUAAAGAAGAAAGUAGACAAUUAAUAUGCGACAGAAAAAUUAAAUAAUGGUCUCUUAAUUCCCUUAUAUAAGAAAUAAUAAUUUUGCUGCUUCACCUGCCUGCUUCAUGGUCUUUAUUUUGUCUGUUUUUGUAAAAAGUUGAUUUAGCUACUUCUAGCCUUGUGGUUAAAUCUAAAACUUCCACUUAAGAGGCCAUUGGUUCAAACCCUCAUAGCUGCUACUUUUUAUAUUUUUAAAUUUUAGUUGUUACUUUUUUUUUCAAUUUUAAAAGAUAUUUGUCACGAUCCAAACCGUUGUGAGUGACACCAACACUAAACAAUUUGGUUGGAGAACCAAUGACUAACCCGAAACCAACUCAACUCAUCAAUAUUAGAACUAAGUCAUGAAAUAAAUAUUAAGAAAAAAUCUUUAAAGCUAACAAAUGAAUUGAGUCCCCAUAAACUCAAUGAAUAGCCAAAACAGUUUAUGCGGAAAUAAAACCCCUAGAAACUAAAAAACAGCAUACCAAAAUUCUAAAAUUUCAAGACUGGAUAUGCAACCCCAAAACUAAAACAUAAAAUUAAAAACCUAGACUGUUUGUGUCCGCAAAUAUGGACAAGAAGAUGUAGAAGAACCCCUGGCAGCCGCUCACCCUUGGAUUUGAAGUCAAAUGUCCCUUAAAUGGGGCCUUGGAUCCUCCGCUGAAAGAUGUCCUAUACUCAACAAGGAAAGAACAGGUGCAUUAUCAGUACACAACCCAUAGUGUACUAGUAGGAUCACAGGGUUCAGUCCAAGAUAUGAAUGUAAACAGUUCACUACAAAGCAAGUGCACAAAACAAAACAUAUAACAACUAAUUAUCAAUCACAUAAACUUUUAGUCACAUAUCAUGAAACAACAAUACCUGGAUGCAUGUCCCACGUGAUCACAAAUGCAGAUGCUUGGUCGUCUUAUUGAAUCAUAAUCACAUACUUGGUCCGGUCACUAAAACCAAAUCAAACUGUUAGUGUACUGAAGUGAUACCUCGACCAUCUAUAGUUAGUGUACUGGUAUUAAAGCCUGAGCCAUCCAUAAUUAGUGUACUGAUGUGGUACCGAUCCAUUCAUAGUUAGUGUACAGGCAUGGUACCCGAUAUAUCCAUAGUCAGUGUAUCGACGUGGUACUCGAGCCAACCAACAAUCACAGACGAUUAUGCACAACCACAAACACAAUGAACAAUACUACUUGAAAACCAUAAGUCAAAAUAAUAUGUCCAUUGCAUGAGAUUAUAAAUAUAAUAUCAUUUAAUAUAUCUUUCUAUGUAUUUCCUACCAUGCAUUGCACAAAUGAUACUACAAAGCAGUAAACAUGCACACAUACAUAAACCAGAAAUAUACAAUCAUCAGCUACCUUGAAUCAAGCCUCUUGGAAACUCUAAAGAACCCGAGCUUUCCCCCUUUUAAGUGUCUUGGCUUGUUUUUGGUCUUAAACAAUAAUUAAAGGCAAUAAUCAAUCACUAGCUGCCUUUUAAUUACCUAUAACACCUCGUAAGUGAAAAAGUCAGAUGAAAUGAAAAAAUGUAGGAAAUUAUUGAUGAAGUCUACAACAGGUUUCUCUUACAGAUGUGUUUCAUGGACUGUCCAAGGUUGUAUGAACCAUGGAACCAUCCCAUGAAAAGGAACUCUGAUAUAAAAUCCCAAGUCAGGGACCAUGGAUAAUUAUACUGUUCGUAAUAGGGUUCACAUGUUGUAAAUCAGCCCGUGGACCAAUUUUUAUAAAGUUGAAAUAUGUGGGAUGACAGGACGAUCGAGUUUCACGACUCGUGAUGGAGUUUACGGACCAUGGAUGGGACCGUAGACCUUGUAAUUGAAAGAUGGGUCACAGACUUAGAUUUUCUGAUGGUUGAACCUUGACUGUGGAAUGGUGUACGGUCAGUAGAAAGGGGACGUGAACAAUUUUACGGACCAUAGAAGGCGUCCGUAGAAACUGUUUGACAGUUUAUUUCCAGGUGCAAUUAGGUCUUUUCCUACUCUUCUAAUUAUUAUACUACGUCAUUUUGGUUUAUUUUGAUGAACUUAAUUGGUUCCUAAGACCCCUUACCUCCCCUAUUCACCCUCAUUCUCUCAAACUUCAAAUUCUCUCUUAAGUCCUCUCCCUCAAGAAAUCUAGGGUUCCAAAAGAUUUCAAGCCUCCAUUGAAGAUUUCACUUAGGGUUUAUAUAAAGGUAUAUGAGAAGUUCAUCAAUGGGUUCAUCUUCACCCAUUGAAACGUAAAGAAACCUCAAUUUCUCAUGCACGAUUCUACAUAAAUUCUAGGGUUUCAUGAUUUUCUUAUGAGUUUUAUUGAAUUUAAGUUUAUUAUUUAUGAUUGAUCUUAUUAUGCAUGAUUUGAUCAAAAGCUGAUGUUUUCAAUGAUAUUUUCAUUAACCCAUGCUAUGCAAGUAUUUUAUGAUCAUGAAUCAAGAUAUAUUGAUAUGCAUGCAUUAUGUUAUAAAGGAUUUUAUGAAUCAAGAAUGCUAUCAAAUAAAGUAUCAAUAAGUCUGUAUGAAAUCAUGAUGCUUCCAAUUCAAGUAUCUUUCAUUAUGAAUUACUGUCAUGACUUAGAUGUUUUCGAUUAAAGUGUCUUUCAAGACUAUGUUAUGUAUCAUGAUCUUUAAGGAACUAUUCUUAUUAUGAUUAUCAUAUUUUUAUAAAUGCUUCGAUAUUACUAGAUUCUUACCGUUUCAAAGAAUAAAAUUAUGACUAUGCAUGUUUUCCAUUGGGAGAUUACUUAGCAUCUAGUUGGACUAAUGUCGAUUACCAUACUCACAAAACUAUGUGACUUAUAGGACUUAGUCUUAACUUACUCUAGCUAGUGGAUCGACCUAAGCUCGUAAUGAUGGUCCUUACCUUGGCAAGUAGGACACUCUUUUUUCGAUGUAGUAAUAGUACACUAAACUCCAUGUUAUAGCUCACACGGUUUAUGUUGGUUAAUGAUUGUCACGACCCAAAGUAUACCCUAGGUAUAAUAUGGCAUAUAGAACCCUGAAAGAUCCUACACAAGCCACUUAGCAUAUAUCAUACAUGAUAAUAGAAAUAAGGAUUUUAAAAAUAGCAAUCUUAUAUCACAAAAGAAAAGUUUGACAAAGUGGAAAUCUAACAUAAUCUCAACAAGCCAUCUAAACAUCAAAAGAGUGGUUGAGACGUAACUCAUACACCACAUACAUCAUCCAAAAACUUUAAAAAUAUAUAUAAAGCAAGUAAAAGUAUCCCGGUCCUCAGAACAUGAAGAAAACCAACUCUUGAAUCCGAUAAAAUGAUCAACUAGCCACAAGUGUGGGAGGUAAGGGUGUCGGGCCCUACGUUAAUGAAACAAUGCAAGCACAAGUAUGCAUUAGUACAUAGAAUGUACUAAGUAUGGGGAAAUAUGCAUAAAAUUGACAUGGUAACAUGAAAAGCUUAAAACAUGUAAUGCAUGACCAACAUUUGAACAUUUAAAAGCUUAAAGAAGCAACAACAUGUAAAUCAAAAGAUAUGGUCAAUGCAUUUGAAAUAAGGGACAUAAGAAAACUUUAAAAAAACAUUGAAGAAGCAUAAUAGUUUUGUGGGAUAUUAUCUCUAACCGCUAAUAAAAUCAUGAGAGCUAUGUCAUGAAAUCCGGUAUAUUCCUCAUACCAAAAGAAGGGGAUUCUACUUUCCAAGGCAGAGUCCGUACACAUCAUAUUUUGCUAAAGUUGAUCCACUAUCUAGGUCAUUUAAGACAAUACUACGGGAGCACGUAGCUAGGGACUAGAGGUUGCUAUUAGAGACUAUCAUAUUUGAGCUCCACCUCAAAUCCUCUAGGUGAUAAGUCUAAACUCCAAUGAAAUAGAUAAAAUUCAAAAAUCAAUAUAACAUAGGAAAGGCAACGAUCAAUACAAAUCCACAUCUUAAGAUCAAAACAUGAAAUCGCUCCUUAAAUUUUAAUUAAAACAUAAUGAGAAAACCUUUCACCAAUGUGAAUUCAUAUGUGAGAAAUACCUUCCAGAAUCAUGAUCAUGCUUGUAUGUGAGAAAACCUUUCACAACAACAUUGGUACUUUCAUCUAAAAUCACCCUAUCAUCAUAAACAUAAUUUUCAUAAGACAUGCAUCUUCUUUCAAAAUUCAUAGUUCAUAGGUUCAUGGGUGCAUCAUAGGUUCAUAGUUGAAAAAUCAUUAAUCAUGCACGUGUCUUUAUAAUUUAAACUAAUUUCAUGUAAUAACAUUAAAUCAUUCAUUAGAAGAAGUAAUCAUUAAUAAAAAUCAUAAUUGAAUGAAACUCAUAUAGAACUAGGAAGAACCCUAAUUUGAUAUAUUGAAAAUUGAAACUCUUGGAGACCCCGUGGAGGAAUGGUCUCCAUGGGUGAAUACCUACAUACCUUGCUAUUCAAAGCACAAGAUGAAUGGUGAAUUGAUUCCCUUGAAAGAACCCUAGUUUAUUCUUUUUCUUUAGGUUGAGAGGGAAUUUGGGAGAAUGAAAUUGGUUGGGGUUUUGGGGAAUUAGGAGAAUGGAUUUAAAGUGGGUAAUUUUAGGACUUAGAAGCUUUAUGUAAGGGUUGGGAUAGAACCAAAAAUGGCAUACUAUAGGCUUAAAACAAUUAGGAAAAUACCAAAAAGCCCAUAAAAAUUAAUUGUCGGAGCUUCCUACGAUUUGGACCUUUUCUAAGGAGCAUCCUAGUCAACCGUAGGAAAGUUCAGAAGCCUUUAACUUAGACCCAACUUUUACGAUACCUUUCUACGGCCCGUAAGACUUCCUACGGUCUGUAGACCCCAACCGUAGAAACCAACUUUGACCUUUAAAAUUUCACCAAGUUGGGGACCUUCCUACGAGACUCAUCUAUGAUUCGUAGAUCCUUUGACAGACCAUCUUGUUCACUUGUAGAAAAGUUCAGAACCUUGAUUUUCCAAAAAAAAAAUUCUCCCCUUUCUAUGAGACUGGUCUACGAUCUAUAGAAAAUUCUACGAACCGUAGACUGGUCUUGUAACAUGAACCAGUAGACAUAAUUUUUGCAACCUUUUUCAUUUUUGAAAUCCGAGGUGUUAAAAUGAUAUCUCCCCAUAUCUUAUGAUUAUGAUCUAAAGAGGAAUGCAUGAUCUAGUACUAUAGUUAUGAAAUCAAAUUCUCAAUUCUCAUGUUAUAUUCACCUGAUCAUUGCAUUAUCAUACUUUCAUACUCAUCAUGUUAUUGUGUCAUGUUUAUGCAUUUCUCAGUGCUUACCACAUACAUUCGCGUGCAUAUAUUAUCUUAUAAUAUAGGUGUUGACAUAUUCUAUCAGUCUUAUGGUUAGUACAUGAUUCUAUCAACCUAUACAAAUUUGGUGAGUCCUUAUUGUCCGGGGACAUACCACUUAUUUUUUUUAUAAUCAUUUUAAACUUUAUUACAGAUGUCCGAGUAAGCUUGGGCUUUUCCUAGCAACUCACUUAUGUAGUAAAGGCUUAUUCAGACAUUAGUGUUUCUACAUAUGUGCUUUUGUACUCAAAUUUUCGUAUUAUGUUGAGAUUUACAUUUGAGACUUUAUUUUGUUUAUCAUGUUAUUUAAGUUAUGUAUGUUUUUGUAGUGUCAUGCUAUGUCAUGUAGUUGACUUAGUAUCUCUUGGGAUUCUAGGUACCAUGUUACAUCUAGGGGGGUCUUGGGUCGUGACAUUACUCAAAUUAUCAUCAAAUCCUAACCCAAACCCAUAUAUGAUCAUCUUUCCCAAUUUAGAGCUUUUUCCACCGUGAAAUCAAGUGAAAACCCUCCCCCAAGAGCAAUAACCUAGAUUCUAAGGCUUAAGGAUCAACAUAUAAGGCUGGCGAGUAAUAAUCUUACCCUUACUGAUGAAUUCUGUGGAAAAUUGAGUGCAAAUAGCCCAAAAUUUCCCCUACCAACUCUAAGAAAAAAAGUGUAGAAAAUAGGAGGUUGUCACGACCCAAAAUAGGUAAUGAGUGGCACCCACACUCAACCUUCUAGGCGGACGAACCAACAAAUACAACCCCAAAUUAUUUUAGUUUUUUGACUUACGAAAUACAACAAUAAUGCGGAAAAUCAAAUCUUAUUAAAGUAAGAAAUAAAAACACACUAGAGUCAAUUACAUAUCGUUUCCCAAAACUUGAAAGUCAUCACAUCAAGGACACCUAAUCCUCAAAUAAAAAGUCUAAGAGUAUCAAAGACACCAGAAAAAUAGAUAAAAUAGUUUGUGUCCGAAAACUAAAGAUAUCAUGCCAUGACUAAGAGAAUACAACACGAGCUAGAAUAAAUAGCUCACCCUAGAACCUGAUGUGUUGGACACUGGCUAGAGCUGAGGGCGAAUCGAAGUCCAUGGUGCACUCGUUGCACUUCAGAAAAGGACAACGAAGAAGAAUACAAGUAGGGCAAUAUGUACUAUGUAGAUAUCAUCGCCAAAUCAAAAUAGAAAAACAUAUGCAUAAAGUAAUAACAAGAAAUCAAUUAUAUCACUAAGCAAAUGACAAGCAACAAACAACAUGAACAAGUGAUGACAACAAUGAAACAAGUACGUAUAAAGUCAACAAUAUCAAGAACACACAUUAGGUGUCAAGCCUCCACAACACGCUCUUUUGGGAAAUAGGUUCUUUCAGAUUGAGUAUAUUAAGUUACUUUAAUAUAUUUUUCAUCAAUGUUACCGUGCCGGAACGUGACACUCGAUCCAAUAAUAUUUUAUCGGCUCGUGACAUCUUAUCCAAAUAUAUUAUGCUAGCUCGUGGCACCCGAUCCAAUAACAUAGUUAAUUCAUCAUUCUUAUCACCACUUUCCAUCUUAUUAACAUUAUUUUAUCAAGACUUCUUUAUUCAAGGCAUCACUUUGAUAGAUAAAGUUCAAGAUUAUGGAUUUUGCUGUCAUGAGAUUACAGACAACUCACAAAAACAUAUAUUUUCUCCAAACUACAAAAACUAAGUUCAUAAAAAAUUUCACAAUGAUACUCAAUGACUAUCAAUCACUAUUAAGAGUCUCUCUAUCAUAUAGAGGAAACCAUAACCUACCUCAACCAAAGAACAAAAGUCAAACAAGAAAAUUCGCCAAUAUUUUCCUUCUUUUACUGGCUUAGAACGUUCCCAAUCUACCAUGUAUGCAUAAAUUGUAAGUAAAUGCACUCAAUUCUAUAACCAAGUUCCUAAUCUUGAUGCCAAUUAAUAUGUUAACUAUCCUAUUCUCUCAAAUUUUAAGUCUAGGGUUAAGUCUCGAUUCCUCCAAAUAACAUAACUAUAAUGGAAUUCAUAUAAUACAAUACGCCAAAUAUUUAAUUACCUAUAUCAAUAUAGCAAAACUUGAAUCAUAAUGUGAUAACUAUAACAAAAUAAAUACUGAAGCCACAACUUAAAUUAGUCUGGGAAUUACUCUACAAGAAUAAUGGUUGCAAGCUUGAUAUAAUACCUAACUACCUAAUAUAGGUAUCAAGUUUUCUAAUGGUCUUAUUGCCCAUAGCCAAUUAUUACCCAUUAUUGCAAAAUAAUUAUCUUUCUCACUUUUUAUCCCAAAAUUCAACCUACUAGUAAAUAAUACUCAUGCCUAUAGCCACCCCUCUUUUGCAAUCUUAUUUUCCUUACCUCACCGAUCAUCAAGCUAAUCACAAUUCAAGAUUACACAUAUAACUAAUGUUACUAGAAAGAACAAGAGAACAGUUUCACCUGAAGCCGUGUCAUUCAAUUUGCUUUUGUAACCGUGCAUCGAUUAUAUCAUUCUUUCUUCAACAGAUUAUUUACUAUCUUAAUUAUUGUACAUGAGUAAUUAAAAUAGUAGUGAAAGUGGCCCGCUACUAAUUUUAAUAAAAUAUUUUCAUUAAAUACCACCUACAUUAAUUAUUAAAAUUACUCAAUUAGUUAUAUAACUAUAAUUAAUGAAUAGUCCAAAAGACCUACUUAGAAUCUACCAAAGGAGUUUUUUCAUGGAAUAAGAAGCUCUAGUACUCAAAAUGAACUAAUGGGUCAUCACAUCUUAUACCAAUUUACCCAUCGUUCAUCCCGAACGGUCAGAAGAAAAGUGAGGAUAAUAAAGAGUACCUUACUCGACAAAAACAUGUGGAUAUCUUAUGUGCAUAUCGUCCUCGGUCUCCCAAGUGGACUCUUCAACCGGAAGAUUAUUCCACUAGACCUUCAUAGAUGCAAUCUCCUUUGACCCAACUUGUGGACCUCCCUAUAUAGAAUAGCUACAAGCUCCUUCUCAUAAGACAAAUUCUUAUCAAGCAAGAUUGAAUCCCAACAAAUAAUGUAGUUUCCAUCACCAUGAUAUUUCUUCAACAUAAGACACAUGAAAUAUUGGUGUACUUUGGACAACCCUAGAGGCAAAGCCAAUUCAUAGGCCACCUCUCCCACACUCUUUAAGAACUUCAAAUGACCCAAUAUAUCUUGGACUAAGCUUACUUCGCUUACCAAGCCUCAUCACACCCUUCAUAGGUGAAACCUUCAGCAACACUUGUUCUUCAUUCAUAAACUCCAAGUCCCUGACCUUCCGGUAUACAUAUUCCUUCUACCUGCUUAGAGCUGCUAGAAGCUUCCCCUGAAUGAAUUUCACCUUCUCUAAUGAUUCCCUCAAAAUAUCAGUACCCAAAGAUCUCACCUCAAAUGCAUCAAAGCAAUCAAUGUGAGACCUACAUCUCCUCUCAUACAAUCCCUCAAAUAGGGCCAUAUCUAUACUCAAGUGAUAUCUAUUGUUAUACAAAAACUCUACCUAGGGUAAGAACUGAUCCCAACGACCACUAAAAUCUAUCACGCACGCAUAAAACAUAUCCUCCAACACUUGAAUUGUCCGCUCUGACUGCCCAUCUAUCUGAGGGUUAAUUGUUGCACUAAAAUUCAAUAUAGUACCUAACUCAGCCUGCAAGGUCCUCUAAAAGUUAGAAGUAAAUUACGUACCUCUAUCUGAUAUGAUGGAAAUCAGAAAUUUAUGCAAUUGAACUAUCUCGCGGAUAUAGAAUUUGGCUUAACUUCUCUGCAUUAUAAGUCACCACCGAAAUAAAGUGCAGACUUAAUUAACCUAUCAACAGUCACCCAUAUGGAAUCAAACUUACCCAAUGUCUUUGGAAGACAAACCACAAAGUCUAUUGCAAUCCUUUCCCACUUCCAUUCAGGAAUGGGCAUUCUCUGAAGUGUCCGUCCUGGCCUCUGGUGUUCGUACUUUACCUGCUGAAAAUUCAGACAUUAGGCCACAAAAUCAACAAUGUCAUGCUUUAUUCUAUUCCAUCAAUAAUGGUGUCUCAAAUCAUGAUACAUCUUGGUUGCACCAGGAUGUAUAGAAUACCUCGAACUGUGAGACUCUCAAGAAUAGUCUACGUCAAAUUAUCAACACAGGGCACACACACCCUCCCCUAAAUCCUCAAGACGCGUAUCUUAUCAAUCACAACAUCCUUGUCUUUUCCUCGUAAGGCCAUAUCACGAAUCUGGCUCAGCUUUUUAUUAUCAAAUUGCUCUAUCUUAAUCUUAUCUAGAAAAGAAUAUCUUGCCUCCAUACAAGCCAAGAAUCCUCCUUUAUGAGUUAUUUCCAUCCUUAUAAGGUCAUUAGCUAGAAUUUGAACCUCUCUAGCCAAUGGGUGUCUAGAAGCUUGCAAAUGGGAUAAACUCCCCAUGCUCCCUGCUUUUCUACUUAGGGCAUCAACCACAACAUUAGUUUUUCACGAGUGAUAAAGAAUAGUAAUAUUUUAGUCUUUUAGAAACUCCAUCCACCUCCUCUGCCUUAAAUUCAAGUAUAGAUGAGUGAACAAAUAUUGUAAACUGCGAUGAUCUAUAUACACUUCACACUUGACCCCAUAUAGAUAAUGCCCCCACUUGCUUCAAUGCAUAUACAACCAUAAUUAACUACAAAUCAUGAGUGAGAUAGUUACGCUCAUGCACUUUCAAUUGCCUUGAAGCGUAGAAAAUUACAUUCCUCUCCUGCAUUAGAACUGCACCUAAACUAGAAUAAGAUGCAUUAUAAUAAACAAUAAAAUUCUUACCUUCCACAGGCAAGGCAAGAAUUAGUGCAGUAGUCAAUAAGGUUUUGAGUCUCAAAAAACACUCUUCACACUCAUUUGAUCAUACAAAUGGAAAAUUCUGCUUGGUCAAAUUAGUCAGCUGGAAAGCAAUAUCAGCAAAUCUCUUGAUGAACCAGCGGUAGUAGCUAGCUAAACCAACAAAGCUCCUUACCUCUGAAACAUUAGCGGGCAUUACCCAACUCUUCACUGUUUGAAUAUUCUGGGGAUCCACCAUCACUCCAUCCUUAGAAACCACAUGUCCUAAGAAGGACACUGAAGUGAGCCAAAACUCAAACUUAGACAAUUUGGCAUAAAGCAUUUUUGCUCUUAACAAUUUCAGUACAAUUCUUAAAUGCCCUUCAUGUUCUUUUUUGUUCUUUGACUAGAUCAGUAUAUCAUUAAUUAAUAAAAUAACAAAGAGAUCGAGAUAUGGCUUAAAGAUUCCGUUAAUUAGGCUCAUGAAAGUAGUAGGGGCAUUCAUAAGUUCAAAAUACAUUACCAAGAACUCAUAGUACCCAUACCUCAUUUGAAAAGCAGUCUUUCGUACAUCCGCCACUCACAUUUUCGGCUGAUGAAAACCAAACCUCAAAUUAAUUUUAGAGAAGACACAAGCACCCUGCAACUGAUCGAACAAAUCUUCAAUGCGAGCAAUGUGAUACUUUUUCUUAAUAGUCACCCUAUCCAGCUGCUUGUAGUCUAUGCACAUCCAAAAACUACCAUCUUUCUUCUUCAUAAAUUAAACUGGAUCACUCUAAGAUAGAGGUACUCGGUCUAAUAAAACCUUUACCUAACAAUUCCUGAAGUUGGGCCUUCACUCUCUCAACUUAGUUGGCGCCAUUCUAUAAGGUGGAAUGGAAAUAGGGUGAGUACCCAGCUCUAGGUCAAUAUAUAAAUCAAUAUCCUUGUGGCAUUCCAUGAAGGUUUGCAGGAAAAACAUCCACAAACUCAUACACUAUCAAAACAAACUCAAUCAAAGGCACUUUGGAACUAUCAUUUCUGAGAUGAGUCUAGAAAGCUAACGUCCAUUACUUAUCAAGCUCUUAGCACGGAUAAAAGAGACAGUCCAAACUGGGGCGGGAAUAUUGUCACCCUCCCACAUCAGUGGAUCUAUCCUAGGCUUGAUAAAAAAGGUCACGGUCUUAGCAUUGCAAUCUAAGAUAGCAAAAUUUGGAGAAAACCAAGUCAUACCCAGAAUUACAUCAAAGUCAACCAUCUCCAGAAUAAUCAAAUCUGCAUAAGUUUUUCUCCCCAUAAAAGUCACAAGGCAAGAUCUAUACACCUUCUCAACUAGCACAGACACACUAACAAGAGUAGAAACAUGAAUAGAGACGUCAAGCAAGUAACAACAUAAAUUAAAUACAUUAGCUAAUGAGGAAGAUACAUAAGAGAAAGUGGAUCCAUGAUCAAACAAUAUGGAAGCCAUGCAAUAGCAACAAGAAGAAUACAUGUGAUAACAACAUCAUAUGCCUUUGCCUCUAGCCUCCCAAGGAAAGCGUAACAAUGGGCUCUGUCUCCUGUCUAACCAUUUCCCUUACUGGGCUGCACUCCAAUAGUUCCAACCUGCCCACCACCAGAGCUCGACUGGUGACCUCCACAACCUUAGCCAUGUCAUCCUAAAAAAUGACACUCUGCCAUAGCCACCCCUACCUCUGACUGUUGUGGCUCUGUAACCCUGAUCGUACCGAGCCUGAAUCUACCUCGACCAAUAUUUCCUAAAUUUCCCAAUCUCACCACAUCCAUAACAAGUACUGGAGUUGAGAGUAGGUCUUUGUUAAGAAAAAAAAGACUGUAUAGGACGGAUAAUCCUCAGAACUUUACGCUCUAGAGUAAGAACCACUAAACUCUCUUCCUUUAUGGACUUUCUUGAACGCUGUCACCUUGAAAAAGCCAUAUGGCUUCACCCCCUCUACCUCUAUCAUAAAAUCAACUGCUUCUUGAAAAUAUAUUGUAGAAGAAGCCACUUGUAAAGCUAGAAUAUGCAAAUCUUACCUCAAUCCUUCACAAAGCGGUGAGUUAGCUCUUGUAGAUUGAAGCAAAGCUAAGUAAACUACCUGGAUAAAGCAGGAAAUUUAGCCUUAUAUGCUGUAACAAACAUUUUCCCUUGCUUUAUAUUCAGAAAUUCGUUUUUCCUCCUGUCCCUUAAAGUUUGGGGUAUAUAAUUCUCCAUUAAGAAACUAGAAAAUUUUGCCCAAGUAAUAGGUAGUGCCUUUGCUAGUUGACACUUAACAUGGGACUGCUACUGCAUUUUGGUAUCUAAUGACAAUCCACAAGGAUGUCAUAAGCAAUUGUCAGAUUUAGUACCCUAUAAGACUGGAGGUUUCAACUUUAAGAACAUAAUCAAGAGAUAAUGUUGGUUAAUGAAUUUAAGAACAUAAUCAAGAGAUAAUGUUGGUCACUAGUCAUUAUAGGCCCUGUAGUCAAUCUGGGGAAACAUGCACGUUUCCAAGGACACAUCCAUGUGGGGAGCGACAAUAAUUGUGUGAUGUACUCCCUGAUACUGAGAUGCUGGUGCAGAAAAAGCUGGGGUGCUUGGUCCUGAUGAAUAACCCACUAAGAUAAGUGAUAACCAGAUAGAUCAUCUUUGGAGUAUGCUGGGUGGUGUUUCCCUCUCAUGAAUAUGCUCACCCUCUUCUUCAUCGUCCUCUCUUACCACCUCAUCGGCUGGUGGAACGUUGCUCUACCAUUGACUGGUCCAACUGCCUGACCUCUACCCCUAGUGGGCUUUCUCCAACAACCUCUAUAACGGCCUCUCGUCACUACUCCCCUCGAUCUAUAGUCCCAACGGUUGGCUCAGGUGUAUCCUCUCUUGCUGGUGUUGGUGUUACCACUGUUGUUGAUCUAGUUCCGACCAUCUGUGAAAUAGAAUGAAAAAGGUUAGAUAAUAAUUUGUAUAGCCUAGAUACCAAUUGGAUUCACGUAAUAGCACAAAGAAAGAAGGAAAUGAGUUUUCCUAAAGUCUGAUAGCCUCUCGAAGAAAAGUAAAGACAUUCCCAUACCAUUUCGCAAGACCCUACUAGAUUUGUACUUGAGUGAAGAGAUCACUGAACCUAAAGCUCUACUACCAACUUUGUCACGAUCCAAAACAGAUAAUGAGUAGCACCCACACUUAACCUUCUAGGCAAGGGAACGAACGAAUACAAUUCCAACUUAUUAUAGUUGUUCACCUUACGAAAUACAACAAUAAUGCCGAAACUCAAAUCUUAUUAAAGCAAGAAAUAAAAACACACUAGAGUAUUACAUAUCGUUUCCCAAAAUCUGAAAGUCACCACAUCAAGGACAUCUGAUCCUCAAAUAUGAAGUCUAAGAGUAUCAAAGACAUCAUGAUAAAUAGAUAAAAUAGUUUGUGUUCGAAAACUAAGGACAUCAUGUCAUGACCGAGAGAAUCCAACAUGAGCUAGAAGGAAUAGUUCACACCUGGAACCUGAUAUGCUCGAUACUGGUUAGAGCUGAGGGCGAGUAAAAGUCGCUAGUACACUUGGUGCACUCCACAAAAGGAAAACAAAGAACAAUACAAGUAGGGGUUAGAACAGGGUAAUAUGUAUUGAGUGGAUACCAUCGGUCGAAUCAAAAUAGAAACUAAUAUGUAUAAAGUACUAACAGGAAAUCAACUAUAGCACUUAGAAAGUGACAAUCAAUAAGCAACAUGAAUAAGUGAUGACACCAAUGAAACAAGUACGUAAUUAGUCAACAAUAGCAAGAACACACAUAAGGUCUUUAGCCUCCACACCAUGCUCUUUUCGGAAAUGAGUUCUUUGAGAUUGAGUAUAUUAAGUUACUUUAAUAUGUUUUCCUUUAAUGUUACCGUGCCAGAACGUGACACCCGAUCCAAUAAUAUUUUGCUGGCUCGUGGCAUCCGAUUCAACAAUAUAGUUAAUUUAUUUUUCUUUAUCAUCAGUUUCUACUUCAUUAACAAUGUUUCAUCAAUCCUUCUAAUACCGAGCCUGACUCUGCCUCGACCAAUAUUUCCUGAUAUGCCCAUUCUCACCACAUCCAUAACAAGUCCUGGAGUUGAGAGUAGGUUUCUUUGA